UUUUUUUUUUUUUUUUUUUUUUUUUUUUUUUUUUUUUUUUUUUUUUUUUUUUUUUUUUUUUUUUUUUUUUUUUUUUUUUUUUUUUUUUUUUUUUUUGUUUUUUUCUUUGGGGUACUUGAAGUAUCCUGGAUACCCCACACCCCUCAAAGACAUUGCAAAUCAAAAAUCCACUUGUUAAGUAAGUUAAAAAAAUUAUAAUCUAUUUUUUUUUGCAUAUCAAUAUACGGGCAAAUUUUUAAUUUACAUAUCCGAUCCAUACGGCCCGAGCCCUUUGCUUCCACCACAGACAUCCAUUUUUUUUCACAAAUUAUUUUAUCAAAAUUUGUCACACUGACGAAAAUUUUGGCAAAUUUAGGUAACAAAAUAGAAUUCAAUAAACAAAUUUUGAGACAUAUCAAGCAUAAAAUUUUAUUUUUGCGUUAGAAGAUUAAAAAUACUGAUAAAAUUAAAAGCUAAAUUAUAUCAAUUGAACUUAAAUUUAUUUAAUUUAUUUGUCAUAUAAUUUAUUGCUUAAUUUUUUUUGAUAGAUCUAAUAAUUUUUUGAAAAAAUUAAUUAAAAAAUAAUUUUUUCAAAUACUUUUUAAAAUAAGUUUAAUUUUUUUUUUGUAUUUUAUAAAAGAAAGACUGUAAUAUGGUCAAAAGAAAGAAAGAUGUUUUCGCAUUUUAAAAAUUCUAACCUAUAAAAAUUUCGAUUCUGCAUUAGAUAUAGUUGUAUUUUACAUACAAAAAAGCUUACAAGUAUAUUAAUUGAUGAAUAUAAUAAGCUAUACAUAGCAAAUAUUCAUAAUUUUUAAUUAAAUCUUUCAAAAUAAUAUUAUAAGAGCUUAUUAGAACUAAAAAAACUGAAAUAAAUCCGUACCAAAGCGUGCCAGUAGGACGGCAUGCGUAUCCAUCGGCAUGCAAACGUACUAUGUAUCGGCACGGUAUCGGCACGGAAGCAUGCCGGUGCCAUACCGUGCCAAGCAAACAGCGGCACGCCCCGUGCCACAGCACUUUAAACCUUGAUCUAGAUCAAUGCACGAAUCAGCUGUUGCAAUUAACUAAAGAAAAGUUCACAUCUAAAGCCACCUAGAGUUUACUCGUGUUAAAUUAUAUGACACAAUCAUUUUAAGCUGGUAGAGAAUGAUAUUUUCAUUUUAUUUUUAUAUUUAACACUCACCUUCACGUUUGGGCUUGAGAGCCCUAUGACGUGGAAUUAAAUGAGAGGAAAUCAAUAAUGCUAGGAGCUUGCCGUGACUUGAACUCAGAACCUCCUGCUCUAAUACCAUGUUAAAUUAUAUGAAACAACUAUUUGUCUCUAAAAGCUUAAGCUGGUAGAGAGUUAACAACUUGGGUUGAAAAUAUUCUCACAGAAUAAUAUUCUGUCCCAGAUAAUGUCAUCUCUAUCACCACCUAUGCAUCUCCAACUAAAAUUGACAGGUAAUCUAUUUGGCUCCAAUAUGUUGCAGUUUUAUUUCCAUAGUUCUAUUACUAUCAUACUAUAUGAUGAACUACUUCAUUUUGUUAUAAGUUUAUUGUUCCGGCACUUGGAAUGACAUACAUAACCCUAGAUCUUCUACAAAACAGCGCAGAACAUCAGCGUCUUCAGUCUUUAGGAAUGAAGUGAAAGAAACAAGGAAUUUCCUUAAUGACAUGACUAACAUUACAAUCUGUAUUUACUUUAAUUAAAACAGUCUACGCUGAUCAAACACAAAUAAAAGAUGUUUAAAUUUUAAGAAGGUUCAAGAAAGUAAUUCUAAAUCUUAAUAUUAGCCAUAAUUCCCAACAACCUGUUGCCACUUUUCAGCUACCAUCCGACCAAGAACACCUGGGCCCACAAUCAGCAGAUCAUUUUCUCCAACAAUGUCAAAGCAAGAUAACUUCAUUCCUGACUCAUAAGAAGUUUCUGCACCUAUGAAGCAAACAGAGGCUUUCAAAUUAUAUAUACAUCAAGCACCUCUAUACUUCUACCCUAGAAAUUUAGAAGGAUAUGCUUUUAAAAACUGCGCUAACAAGGGUAUAUGCAAAAAUUAUUUUUUUUUAUAGAGGUUAACUUGUAACUGAUGAUGUUGUGGGGAUAUAUAUAUGUAAAAGCCUCAAGAUAGAAAAGGAACUUCUGAAACGCUUACGCAAUACUAGUGCUUACACAAGAAAAUCAAACAUUAUAAUCACAACUUCAUAUCAGAGCAGUCUGUUAUUAGAUUUAAUAACACUUGUUAUUAGAUUUAAUCCCCUCUUCUAUUUGAUUUCAUUGUUAUUAUCACGGCCUGCGUCGAUGGGCAGUCUGUUAUUAGAUUUAAUACCCUUUUGAAUAAAAUUAGUAAUUUCAGCACGCAAAGCAUAACCUCCAAUCCCUUAAUAUAGUGUCAAACUGGUGCUAUCAAAAUAAAUCUAUAAAUUUAGAACCAAAGAUUUAAGGGCCAUCGGCACAGGCCAUGCCUACCAUGCCGAUAAAAUAUUGGCGCGAUAUAACCCCCCGUGCCCAAGGCACGGUUCAAAAUCUCUCUUCUUUGAAAUUAGGAAGUAAUUAUCUCAAUAAAGUGUAAAAGGUUUGAUAAAGAUAUACAAUAAGCAACUAGAAUAUAUUAGUGCCAAAGAAAAUAAAUAUUUCAUGUCAUAGUGUGUCGCCACAUAUGUAUUUUAUGAUCGACACACACCGGCAAGACAUGGCAUGCACCAUGACCUUCCGUACCAACAAAUUCUCAACACGACCCUAUGCCACGGCACUUAAAUCCUUGCUAGGAACAGAACAGGUCAAAUAACAUGGUUUUAUUCUAUUCCUUAUCGGGCAUUGGCACAUUCGAGAGGAGAAAAUCGAUAAGAGUUGUAUGUAGGGUAAAAGGAGAAUCUAAACCACCAACACAUUAAUUGAAACGAAGAGGAUGAUCAGUUUAUCAUAAAUCAUGGUUUAUUUCCACAGUUAGGCUCCUGACUAAACUAGCCAUCAAUGACUAUCAACUAGGAAAAGAUAACAUGGACAUUAUACUUGGUUUUAGUAGUACUGUUAAGUUUGGUAGCUUCAGAGCGUAUACGCACGAGAUCCAUUGCCUCUUCGUCAAGCAACAAAUAGAAUUUGCAAACUUUCAUAAACGAUGAAAAAAGGUUCUCCAUUUGGUAAAAGGAUCAACUAUUCCACAUUACACAUAGGGCUCCUUUCAGCAGUUAAUUAGCUAACUAACCUAUCGAUCUUUUUUCUGAAAUGCACUAAUCCAUCAACCUUCAAAAAGGUAUUAGAUACAUUGAAAUAAGUGCUGCACUACCACAGAUAAGAACCUGCGGAUGAACAGGCGAUAACAGUAGGGCUACUGGAUAAACUACAAUUAUAAUUUCAUCAAGCAUGAACUUAUAAAACCUAAUCACCAAAAUCCAAGGAGGAUUUUUGCAAAUUUUGGAUCCAAAGCUGUUGUCCUGAAUCUAAAGGUCCUUCGCCAACAUUGUGAUAGAUUUACACACAAAAGAUCUCAACCGGAGGCAUUUCGGUCCUCAAAAAUAUAUUACGAGCCAUAGUCGAAGUGGGCUGAAAUUGCAAAAUCAAAUAAUGUGUAGUGCUUUUGAAAAUGGCAAAAGAAACAAGCAUAAUAGCAUACCAAUAAAUUUGUACAAUCAGUAUUUCCUGAAAGUACUGCUGUUAAAUUCUUAAAUAACAAAAAUGACAUCCAAAAAGAGAUUAAGAAACCACCAUUUGUCUCCAAAAGCUUAAGUUACCAAAUAACUAAUUUGAUAUUUUAUAGUCAACACUCCAAACGCUUAAGCUACCAAAUAACACUAUUUUAAUAUUUCAUAUUCAACACUCUCUCUCACGUGUAGGUUCAAGACUUUUACCAAAUAACACUAGUUUAAUAUUUUAUAUUCAGCAAUCCCCCUCGCGUCUAGGUUCAAGAUUUUUUGACAUGCCCAAAACGUGAACUUGGAUUUGAAUGGAAGGAAAUUAAAUUAAUUGAAUCUAGGAGCCUGGCAGAAUUUGAAUUCACGACCUUAUACUCUGAGACUCUGAUACCAUGUAAAAUAACGUGAAACAAAUAUUUUCGUCCAAAAACUUUAAAGUUGUCAGAAAACAAGGCUUUAAUAUAUUAUAUUCAACAGUCCCCCGAACAUCUGGGCUCGAAAUGUGAAUUUGAAUUAAAUGGAAGGGAAUAAAAUAAAGGCUAGGGUCUUGGUGGGAUUUGAACUCGGAACAUCUUACUCCCAUAGCAUGUGAGGAAACAAUCAUUUCUCUCCAUAAGAUUCCAGCAGUGAUUCUAUCAAAUUUCACUACUCUAACUACUUGAGUGUAGAUUUCAUAAUAAAUAAAUAAUAACCAAUAGCUCAUGAAACCAUUAAUUUUAAUUUUAAUUCAAAAUUCUUGAUUCAGAUAACUCAAAUCAAAACAAAUGAAAGGCUAAGGGGUGCUAAUAAAAAAAAACAGGGAAAAAUAGAUCAGAUUCCACUAUUCAUGAGAUUCUGCUAUUCAUCGAAUCUAAAUCCUAAGCCCAAUCGCAAGGCCAACCAGUUAAGCACGAUCGACCAGAACACGCAUUGACGCAACCAAACCCUAGGGUCGUGCGAAGAAUAAGAGGAGGAGGAGGAAGAGGAGGAGGAGGAGGAGGAGGAAGAGGAUGAGGAGAGGGCAAUGGCGAAGGAGAGGAGCUCACCGACGGAGGCGGAGGCGGAGGAGGAGGAGGCCAUGGAUACGGAGCGAAGGAUGGGGCGAGAGCGAAGGGGAACGGAGAAGAGCGUGGAGGAGGAGGAGGGGAGGGAAAGACGAAGAGGAAGAGGAAGAGGAAGAGGAGGAGGAUGAGAGGAGAAGCGAAUCGCAGCGGCGACAACCACGACUCCCAUUGAAGAAGAAGAAAGAUUAGAGUGGGAGAACAACAACGGGGCGGUUUUAUUUUAGCAAAUCGGGUGACAAGGAAGAAUCCACGUAUCUAUAUCUAUGCAUUACAUUAUCCAUAAAAAAACCAUUAAUUAAUUAGCAAAAGCACUAUUUGGACCUCCAAGUCACUAGGUACCAUUUAGUUCGGGAAUAAUGAUUUUGGGGAUAAAUUUGUUUAAUUCUGGAAUAGUCUGCUAUUCUAGAAUAAUCAGGGAUAAAAAUAAAAUAGUAUUUGGUUUGUAAAACGAUUAUUUCUGAAAAUAACAGAAAUUAUGUUUGGUAAGUUUCUUGGAAUAAAUAAGAAUAGUGACAAAAAGUGUUAGAUUAAUUUUAUAAAUACCAAUUUUGCCCUUAGCUUUCAUGUGCAAAUAUUUUGUAAGUUACCCAACCAAUUAGAUGCAACAUUUAGCUAAACAAGAGAACAUUUUAUACACAUGAUUGCUAGAUUAAUUUUAUUUUUAAUUUAAUGUCAGCACAUUAGAAAUUAUGGUAGUAACAUAUGCUGAAGAGAAAAUAAUUAAAUUUAAGAAGUUCAAGUCAUUGUUAGAUAAAACUAAUAUUGUUAAAUUAUACAAGAAGGCUGUUAAUUACAUCUAAUUCAAAAUUAUAAUAAAAUACAAUGCUGCUUAAUUACUACUAUACAAAACCAAACAACAUGAAGCUAUACAAGAAGGAUGUUAAUUACAAAAUCCCAAAGGCAAGAAAAGAUGAAGAAGAGACAUUGUAUUGAAAAAUAUCAACAUCCAACUCAUACAAAGCAAUUCAGGAGUGCAAGUAACAAUGCAAAUAGUUAAAAACAUCCAAUUACGGGAAAUUUAACAACAGAACAAAGUAGGUUCAAGGUGAAGACAAGAUACACAACUAGAUAAAGCAAAUUACAAAGCAUGUUCACACAAAUUUAUAAAAAUUAUAUCAUUUCCAAUAUAGCCUCCUAUCUAUUGUUCCACAGUUGCUCUGUGAUCAUAGUGUGAAGGGCGUCACCUCGCCGAGACUCAUCUGGGCCAAUAGGAGGUAUCGAGUCAUCAUUUUGGUCGUCUGUGGGGAAUUGGUCCAUUUGCAUGUUGAAAUAUUGUCACGCCCCGGGACCCAGCGGAAGCCCGCCCGGCGCGUGCCCAGACCCGCCAUACGUCUAAAACGUAUAAGGCGUCUAGGAACAACAAUAAUAAAAGCAAUAUUAAAGGACAUCUAGGAAUAUCAGAGCAUAAUAAAUGUCUAAAUGCUACAACAAAGGAUGAGGAAAAGCUGUAAAUCCACUAAAUAAGGCAUAAAGUAAAUACAAUAGGAAAUCCCAAAUACAAGUGCUAAGAGUAGAUACAUAGGUGGUCUCUCUACAGGGUACAAAACUCUCACUCUCUCAACUACAAAAGAAAGAGUAAACCACCUAGGCAAGUAAGCUCCUCGCUAGCUAGCUACGCGAUCCCCUUGCCGCGAUCCCGUGCCUCCGCCGGUGCCGAAGGCUCUGAAAAGGAAACCAUAAAAGGGGCGCUGAGAUACUAAUCAAAAUAGUUCCAGUGUCGAUUACUGACUCAGUGAAUCACCGAGCAAGCCAAACACAAAAAAGAGGUUAGUGAAUAUAGAUUAGAAAAGCGAAAGUAAGUAAAAAUGUAACUUACAUAAACAUGAUAUCUCUACUAUAGCCUAAAUAGCAUAAUAUGAAUAAGACUAUGGUGAAGUAAAAGUCUCAACAUAUCAUAAUUUCACAAUGGCGAAAUAAUAAAGUUCUAUUGUUUCCUAUUACUAGUACAAUGUCCAAAUAAUACUCUAAUCAUCCAUCUUCGCACAUGUCAUAACGAAUACUCAAGCCGAAUCUGAAGAGACCCACCCGAAGGCUGUCUAAUAGCCCUGAGACGCCACCGAAGGCUGUCUGGCGGGUUGCCGAGCCAAUGGCCCGUGGUCGUCAUGCACCCCACCUAGGAUGGGCCUGCCCACGGCAAUCCACUUCGCGCUAAAUCCCGCAGCCGGCGAGUAUGAAUCCGGCUGAUGGCCAUCCCGAUGGCCGGCUUAGUAGGGAGCGACCCUCACAAGCAUAGUGCGGAAUGAGCAUGGCAAUACAAUACGAUCCGUCCAAGUACCAAGUUCCUCCAUGUCAUAAUAACAAUGGGAAUGUGUCAAGAUAAUCUCAAUGCCUAUCUAAUGUCAUCACUGUCUCUAACAUGGAAUAUAAGCAGAUAUGUAGUGGCCUAUCAUAUGUCUCUAUAAUGGCAGGUUUCAUAUUUACUAGUUUCAAGUGCCCCUUUAUGACCUCUUCUGCUCUCUAUGUCAAAAAACAUGGCAACUAUGUUCCCAAGUCACAUAUUCCGUCAGUAAUCCUCAAUAUAAGAUGAAUUGUUUUCACUUGCAAAUUAACACUUCUUCCGUAAUGGCAUGCAUUCUACUCAAUAGCUUCUACUAUUAUAGGAAAUAUUCAUAAUUAAAAGGCAUGCAUUUUAAGUGCUCUAAAAUUCAUAUAAUUCCCAAUUUAGCAUAGAAAUCUAACUAAAACAAAUAAUUACAACAAGUAGAAAGAGCAAUCGGGGCCAUUCGCCCCAGUUUCCACUGAGCUCAAACCCACCGAUGACAACGAAACUCCUCGUGCGCUCCCACGAGGGUGUCCUCUAGUCUCCUAGUAUCCUAGAGGUAUGAAAACAUGAGUCAUACGAGCCGAACGAACAACACCUAGCUCAAACAUUAAGCUAAUCAAGCAUAGGUGUGAAAAACUCACCUCUAGUACAAAAAUCUCCUCUAAAGCUCUAAAAUGAAGCUAGGGCUCAUCCAAUCCAACCUAAUGGAAGCCUCUAAUCCACUCAAUCUAGCUCCAAAAGCCCUAGAUUCAAAAUACCCAAAACAAACCCUAAUAUCACAAUCUAGGGUUUAAUCUCAUGAAAUUCAAUAAAAUUCAAAUCUAGAGGGAGAUAAUAUAAUGCUUACCUCUUAGAAGCUUCAAAUCAAGCUCUAAAUCCUUUAAAUCCCAAGAUCUAUCCUCCACUUAGCUCCAAAUUCAAGCUUGAGGCUUCAUCCAUGGUGGAAAUGGCACCAAAGGGCAAAAGAGAAGAAAAUCCAUCAAAAACCAAGCAAAAUGGAGAUCAAAAUCAAAUGGGACAAGGUGGGGCUUCACUCACCUUCCUCUCCUCUGGUUCCAGCACAAAAAAAGCCCUAAGGGGCGUGGGUGCUGUUAUAAGAAGCCCACAAUCGCGAAAAACCCCCUGCAGACCAAACUGCACGAAAUCUGCCUCCUUGUACCGGUACACGGGCUCUUGUACCGGUACAAGGCCGACGAAAUUGCAAACCCGAGGCUCGGGUCGCGCGGUCUGCGGCUCUGUACCGGUACAAGCCCGAUGGCUGUACCGGUACAACCAUCAAUCCUUGUAUCGGUACAAGGCCAGUCUUGUUCCGGUACAAGCUCUGCUGCAGGCUACCCGAGAGCUGUCCAAUGAAUCCAGUUUUUGGAUUUUGGUACCAAACUUCAAACCAACAUCCUCGGGGUGCGUGCCAGGGGUCGGAACACUAUCAACGACCAUCCAAAAACUGUAGAAAGGCUCCACACACAGAUCAAACACUCGAAUGUUGCAAUUUGCUAAGAUCCAGUGUAUUACAAAUAUCUAUCGGUCCCUUGGUGCCUCUUGAUGAAAUUGUGUAUCACACAACAAGCAAGGGCAAUGCAACACUGUACUUUGUAAGGAAAGGGUGUUGCUUGUCGUUACAAGCACCUUGCAGCUAUUGAACCAUCUCUUUAGGAUCCCAAAGGCUUUCUCAACUACAUUUCUCAAUUGAACGUGAUGAUAAUUAUAUAAAUCUCAAAGUCCUCGAUGCGUUCGUGCCUGUGCGUUUACAUCGAAUUGGCUCAAGUGGUAUCGCUCACCUUGAUAGGGAGCGAGGAAGCAGCCAGUGUUCGCAUAGUCUGAAUCAACUAAAUAAAAUUUUCCUAAACAAAUAUAAAGCUUUAUUAGAAUUACAAUAAUGAAACUUGUAUCACACAUUAAAAAGCAAAAGUUUAGUUACCUUCCGGUAUCGUGAAACCGCCGCUCUUGCAACACCAUCACAACACCCUCAUAUCAGCUGCAGAACCCUCCCACCCGGUGCAUACAAAUAAAAAUUCAUGGUCGAAAGAACAUCAUCAUGUUGUGAGAUGUAAAACCUUUUCGGCAACGAUAUCUUGGUUGCUUAGCCUUUCGUACAACCACCGGAAUGUGUGUUCCAUCUACUGCACCAAUUGCAUUUUGAAAAAAAAAUUUUACAUAAAUACAAUAGUUAGCAUCAAAUAUGUCAUUACCAAAUAAACACAAAUUAAUUCAAAUAAUUAAAGUACCCAAAUCUGAGGGUUAGUUACCUUGAAUGGAUGAAAAAUCGGAUUAUUUUUUAUUCUUGGGUGUACACCAACAUUAGAUGCCGGUGGUUGGAUAUACUUAUGUCUAAGUUCCACCACACCUCGCAGUACAUUAUUAAAAUGCCUCCUAAUCGUUUCUCCUGAAUGUUGAAAAGUUUCAGCUAAAACUCUGUUGGCUACGCCAUGACCUAUACCAAAUAAAAAUAUACCAAGUUGCUCAUCAACAGUUAAAUGCCUAGUGCUUUGUAUACACCCUCUCUCAACUAAUUCAUCUUAAAGUCUUAUAAACAUAGUGGUAGUCAUCCUAAAAUGUUGGUAUUCUCUAUCAGGAUGUCCACUCAAUUUGUCAUGAAUUAACUGAUGGCCAGUGAACGGCCGUGUUCGACAAGGCUGCUUAUAAAUUGUGCUGCGGAAUGAGAAGUCCCCUUCUUCGAUAAGUAAUGCAUGGACUUCUUCCCAAUAGUCCUCUUCCUCUUCUAAGAAUGUCAUGAGAUCGGCAACAAGUGGUGAAGAAAAAGCUUGACGAAAGAUCGCCAUGACUGCAAAUGAACAAAAUAAAACAUUCAUAACACAAUUAUAAUUAUAGAUUAAUCUAUAAUGGCUUAGUUAGUAAGGUCGAAAGAUAUGCAAGGUGGCUGCAUGGUCUUUAGCCAUGCCCCCCAACCCUGCACAUCUAUUUGGUUAGGUAUCAUCAUCACCGAAAGAAGAAAGUAGGAUGCAAGAAAAGAAAAAAGGGCAAAGAAGUUGUGAAGUUGAAGCAAGAAUCAAGUGCACAAGUUUAUAAGUGACAGUAUUGCAAAUAGUCAAGUAAGCAAAUUACUGCCUUACAGCUGAAAUUCCAUAUAUGAAUCAAAGCUGAAACAAAGUAUAAAUGGUGAUACUUUGUGUUGGCUCAGGUUUUAAGAUCCACAAGCAUGAAUGGUGGAUGCAAUACCUUACGAAUCGCAGCCCAAUCCAUUCAAGCCUGCUAAUCUUUUAUCAUCAUUGCCGAAUUCGUUGCCGAUAUGACCACAUGUAGAUUCAGAUCUGGGAGAAGAAAGAACUCACCUCGGGUAGCAUUGAACUAACCACAUUACUGCAGGUUGGAAGAAGAGAUGCAGCAGUGAACAGUUGGAGAUGUGAAAUGGCAUCCAGCAGAAUGUGAGUAAAGGCAACAAUGUUGCAAUUACAAGUAUAGAUGGUCAUAUAUUGUUGGCUCAGGUAUUAAGGCCACAAGCAUGAAUGGUGGAUGCAACACCUUACGAAUCGCCGCCCAAUCCAUUCAAGCCUGCUAGUCUUUUGUCAUCAUUGUCGAAUUCAUUGUCGAUAUGACCCGCAUGUAUAUUUAGAUCUGGGAGAAUAAAGAACUCACCUCGGGCAACAUUGAACUAACCACAUUACUGCAGGUUGGAAGAAGAGAUGCAGCAGAGUUAAGUUGGAGAGGUGAAAUAUCAUCCAGCCGAGGUGAAAUAUCAUCCACAAUGUUACAAUUACAACUAUAAAUUGUGAUAUAUUGUGUUGGCUCGGGUAUUAAGGCCCAUAAGCAUCAAUGGUAGCUGCAAUACCUUAGUAUUGCCCCCCAAACCAUUCACACCUGCUACUCUGUUACACAUCAUUGCCGAACGGACCAACAUGUAAACUGAGAGCCAACAAGAGAGAAGAAGAAAAGUUAUACAAUGAAGUAAACAAGCAGUGAACAAUCAAUGCAAAGAAAGCUAUACAAAGCUGUAGAUGAACUACACUAAUUAGUUAUACAUGAACUUUACAAUCUGAACAAACAAGUUUUAUAAUAAAGUAAACAGGCAGUGAAGAAGCAAUGCAAAGAAAGCUAUACAAAGCUGUAAAUGAACUACACAAAUUAUUUAUACAUGAACUUUAUAAUCUGAACAAACAAGUUUUACAAUAAAGUAAACAGACAGUGAAGAAGCAAUGCAAAGAAAAUUAUACAAAGCUAUAGAUGAACUACACAAAUUAUUUAUAUAUGAACUAUACAAUCUGAACAAACAAGUUUUACAAUGAAGUAAACAGGCAGUGAAAAAGCAAUGCAAAGAAAGCUAUACAAAGCUGUAAAUGAACUACACUAAUUACUUAUACAUGAACUAUACAAUCUAAUCAAACAAGUUUUACAAUAAAGUAAACAAACAGUGAAGAAGCAAUGCAAAGAAAGCUAUACAAAGCUGUAGGUGAACUACACUAAUUAUUUAUACAUGAACUAUACAAUCUGAUCAAACAAGUUAUACAAUGUAGUAAACAGGCAGUGAAAAAGCAAUGCAAAGAAAGCUAUACAAAGCUGUUGGUGUCAAUCUAAUCAAGCAAAUAGUUGGUGUCAAACCAAACAAAAUGAAGGUGUAUAUGAGGUAAAGGUCCCACCAAAUUAACUCAACCUUCAACCAAACAAAGUGAAGUAUGAAAACUUACUAAAUUCAUAUGAUAUGAAAUCAGUAUAAUCAAACCAAAUAGUUGGUGUCAAACUAAUGAAACUAAACAAACUCACUAAAAUUUACCUAACCAUGAACUAAGCAAACUAACAGUUAAGGCAUACAACUUAAAUCAGUACAAAAUAAACCAUGAUCUAACUUAUCCUAAUCAUGAGUUAGAGCAAACAAACAACUGAAAUUGAAAUACAACAUAUAAAGUAAAGCAUAUAGCUAAUAUAAAAGGGAGAAAUCCACUAGUUUAGGCAUGUAGGCAUCUCGGCCCACUAUGCACACAAAAUAGCUAAUGAGGUUUUGCUAACAAAAAGCAUAAGUACUAAGCGUGAGGCUACCAAAAUGUCGGUACUUCAGCAAUAUUUCUAUGAGAUUAAUUUGGAGGGAAAGAUGUAAUAUAUCGAACUUCUAUAGUUAUGAAGUUUCGGUGGAUGUUAGGAACCAUUGGAAUCAUUCCGGCGAAGUUCGGGAGUAUUCGGAUGUUUUCGGUGCGCGUUGGGCGCGAAAACGGAACCCGAAAGGCUAUAUUGGACCAUAGACUAAAUCCGGCAAAAGCGUGGAUGAAAAGAUGGUUUAAACGCGCUCGAAAACAUGUUUUGGGGGUCUCGAUGCGAUUUGAAACGAAUCGGAGGCCUAACGAGCGAAAACGGAGAAAAAGCUAAAAUUGCUGAAAAUUUGUCUAAGUCCUAAAAAUGCUGAUUUUCUGGACCUACGGGGUCCGGUCCCUCUAGCCAAGGACCGGUCCCCAAGACCCGAAAAUGCCCAGUUUAGUGCAGUGGCAGUUUUGUAAUUAAGAAUAAGUUGAUUUAUAAAGAGGCUUUGACCCCUUCUUCUUCCUCUCACAGCCCACACACACACACACCAUUGGAGAGGUAGAGAGAGAAGCUCUCUCCUCUCUCUAGAAUACUCUCUCCUCUCUCUAGAUCCAUCUCCCAAAUUCGGAGGCUUGGAGGAGAAGGACCUUGUGAACGCGUGGGAGGCGACGGUUCGGGCCCUCGUGCGCCCGUUUGAGCGGGGUGCUUCCGUCUCGGCGUUCAAAUUUUGGUAAGCUUUGGGAUUUCUACUAAAUCCUUCAUGAAAGAUAUUCUAGUAGUCUCUAGAGUAUUAUUAGCAUGUUACUCUAUAUAUUUUUGGGGUAUUUGGGAUGUAUUAUGGCUAGGGCUUCAAAUUGGGGGUUUUUAGUAAAUGAGGGUUUUGAUCUCAUUUAACUCCACAUUUCUCUAAUUGAAGGUUAGAGGUGAGUCCCCAACAACUUUAAGUUGAGAAUCGACGAGUGUUCGGUGAUCGUUUGCGAGUACGAGCCGAACCGGAUCACGUGUGCCGCAAGAGCCCGAUUGCAAGUGACUACAAGCAAUCAGAGAGCAAUAUUAGGUGGGUUGUGCUUCACCGAAGUGAUUAGGUCACUUCCAAGCCAAAGUGAAGUAUGAAUGUUAUUGAUGCAUGUAUAGUUGGUAGGUUGUACUUGAUAAUAUGAAUGUGUAAAUCAUAUUAUGCUUGAUGUUGUUACCUACCAUGAGAUGCUAUAUGAAUGCAUGAUGUGGAGGCUAAUCAAGAAUGCAUGAGAUAGAUGUUAGUGAUGAACACAUGAGAUACAUGCUAAGUGGAUACAUGAGCUAGAUGCUAAAUGAAUGCCUAGAGUAUAUGCUAAGUGAAUAUAUGAGUUAAAUGCUAGAUAUAUGUAUAAGAUGGUAUCAAAGUAUAAAAAGAACAAUAAAAAAAAUAAUAGAAAUGAUUUAGCUUGACCUAGGAGACCCUAGAAUAGUAAACCAUGGAAGCUAAGGCUCGUGAGAGACGAGGACUUGUAACUUGUGGCGAAAGAUUGAUCGAUUGGGUCAAGUUAGUAAACCUCUAAAACGGAUGUUAGAGGGGGAUUCAAGGUUCAGUUUAUUCUCAGCUGAGGGUGUUCAUAUUGGAUGCAUACAACAUGAAACCGAGUAAUGAGAAUAGAUGCCCUUGCGUGACUUUCGCCUGAUUUGAGUUGAUGUUAAUUGUUUCGUGCUCGACCUAAAAGGUUGAAAAUUAAUUGAGUUGUCAUGUUUCAGGAAACGAUGGCACCGCGUAAGCGAUCUUCAGCUAGAUCAACGUGGGAUGGGACAGGUGAUGUCCCUAAGCAAUCUGAGGCGAGCGGAGACUUGGAACUUCACGAACAGUUGGCCAUACUUGUGGGUGUGGUGAGGGAACGAGCCGAUGUGGUGCAGCGACAGCAGGAGGCUACUAUGCGCCAGGAGAAACGGAUCAAGAGACUCCAGGAGACCGUGGAGCAGCUAGUGGCUGCGCCAGUUGCGGCUCGUCGAGGACGGCCGGGAGUUGCGGCGGAGAUCUCUCCGUCGGGGUCGGGUGAUCCGACUCCCGAAAGUGCAUUAGUGGAGGCGGAGAGGGAGCGAGCUUUGGUGGCCCUUAUGACUUUUAAGAAGUUCGAUCCGCCUACCUUUGAUGGAGAGAGUCUAGAUCCGUAGGUCAUGGAAAUGUGGAUCGACUCCAUGGAGACUCUCUUUGAGGAUCUGCAUGUCUUGGGAAAGGUAACCCUAGCUAUGCACUGUUUGAAGCAGUCGGCAAAGUGGUGAUGAAAAGACAAGAAUGUUGUAAUAUACCGAAACUUUAGUAGAGUACUCCGGACUUUAGCCAAAUUGACUAAAGUGUCCGAAAGAAAAAGAUGGACGAAGUCCAUUUGGCAUUCCAACAAUGUUGGAAGGGUCAAAGUUGAGUUCUAAAAGAGUUAAGCAAGAGUUAGCAUUGCUCGGCGCGAAGAAGUGCUGGAGCACUGCCAGGACAUAAGUCUGGGCACUACGUACCGGUACCAGGUCAGGUGGUACCAGUACCAGGCCAGCAACCCGAGAGGAGUAGCUCUCGGGUUUGGCUGUUGCGCGACAGUGUACCGGUACCCGAUGAGGGUGGUACCGGUACCAGACCAGCAACCCGAGAAUAGUAGCUCUCGGGUUUGGCUGCUGGAUAGGGGUGUACCGGUACCAAUUGAUGGUGGUACCGGUACCAGGUGGCCUUUGCAGCAGACUGAAGUCUGCUGCAAAUCUGAGUUGAUAGGGGGCCUUUUUGUAAUUGUUACAACAUAUAAACACCCCAACACCUCUCCCCUCUCUCUCCUACAGUUAUUGCACCUCUCUUCUUUCAUUUCUCUCUUUCUUUCCCUAGAGAUCACUCCAAGGAGCUAAGAGGGAGGAUAGGAGAAGGGAUUUUAAGGAGAUUUCUUGAGUUUUGGAGGCAUGGGAACUCUCCUACAAGGUGGACUUUGGAGAGCUUAGGGCAAAGGUAAGGAUUUCAUGUAAGAUCUAGGUUAGGGCUUGGAUUUUAUGCCCUAAAUCUUUGGAUUUGAGUUUCUUACAUGUGUGGAAUCCUUCUAGAAGCCAUGAAACACAUGGAAAUCAAGUUUCCUUCAUGUGCUCUCAUGGUGAAUUUCUAGGGUUUGGUUUAUAUGCCCUAGAAAUGGUUGAAAAGGCUUAGAAAAGGUUCUAAAUAAGUUUCUAGAGGUUUAGUAAACUUGCUUUUGUUUGUUCUAGAGAUCAAAUCUAAGGAUUGAGCAAAUGUCAUAUUAGAUGGGCAUCCCAAAGAGAGGUUUUGCUCAAGUGGGGUUUUGAUCUAAUUUGAUCAUGUAUAAACCUUAUUAGGGGUCUAACGAAUGCGUUGGUGCGCUCGUUCGACAAUCGACGAGUGUAAGCAAAGAUAUUGACAAAACAUUAUUUUCGUACAGAUUGCCGCAGCACGCGGAAUAGGCGUCUAAAAAUCCCAAGAAUGAGCGUGUAGCAUCCUUAUAACUAUCUAAGGUGGGUGGUGCUUUCCGAAAUCGAUGGAUUUCUCUUAUGUCUAAAGUGUCAUUUGAGCAUAUGUGUUUAUAUAUUGUUCAUGCAUAGUAGGUGAUGUGAGUAUAUUUGAUUGCAUCUUUGAGUAUAAGAUGCAUAUAAAAUGUUGUAAAUUCUUGAGAACGUAUGGAACCCUAUGUAUGCAUGUGUAGUGACAAAGACUAAAAAGGUAAAAGGGUAAGAUACAUUAAUGACAUAUGGAUUGGGUGGCAUUAGUAAAUGUCAAGUAUGCAUGAGAACACUUAGUGUUAUGUGUUGGCAUUAGUAAACAAAUGAAUGCUAGGAUUGGACUCUUAGUCGAGUGGCAUCAUGAAAAGUAAAGAAUGCAAGUAAAGGAUAUAGUUGAAUAUUAGACAUAGCAACUUAGAGUUAAGGGUCAUAUGAGCAUUGCAUCCUCAUUGUGAGGAUUGGUAUUGAACUUGGAAUCCUUAAAGUUAAGGAUUGAUUGUACUAACCCAUUAGUUUUGGUCGAGGGCGUAUGUCACGGCACAAAGAUUUUCUCCGCGAUUUCGCUUUGCAAUCACCUGAACUCCAAAGCGGACAUCUGACGGAGGUUUUGGCUUGGAACCUUCUGGAAGCUUCUACGUGGAUCUCGAGGCUGAUUGGCGCGGAUGCCGAGGAGUCAAGAGUCCCUUGGGGUUUCUAGGUAGCCAUUAAUGUACUUAGAGUUUCUAUGCAUAUUUAUUAUGACUCUUGGGAGACCGUAGCGUACUUAUUGGCCUCCCCUUUUGGCUUGUAGUUUCAUGCCACUUGGCAUCUUAUCAUUUGCUUUAUGGGCGGCGAGUGGCCUAUAUAUAGUGUGGCCUCCACCCCUCUCAUUUCAGAAUCUACUAUUGUAUUCUCCAAGUUGAAGUAAUAGAAGAGCUUUCUUCUUAUCUCUCUCUUGUACUUAGUCUAGGGCGAGUGAGGUCCUAACUUAGCAAGUAGAGAGGCAGGCUUGCUCACUUCGCGAAGGAAGGCGAGCGCCGCACGGGCUUUUGCGAGCAAAUUCGUUAAGUCCGUGACAGUUGGUAUCAGAGCCGGUUCGAGUAGGAGCCAUGUCGUCAUCAGAGGCCGCUGCUGGCGACGUUGGGGGUGAUGGCCCCAAGCAACCCUCCAAGCGGGGCAAGGGCAAGGACACGCGAAUCACGAAGGAUUCCGCGUCGGUCGAGGACCGCCUUGCGCUGUUGGAGGACAUUCUAUCGAAGGUGGGAGAAAGGUACACCGAGAUGGCCGAUACCUUUAACGCCUUCAAUGAAGAUGUUCGCAGUAUGGAGGAGAGUGUCGCCACUGCCAUGGCGACCUUUCGAGGCGAGCUUGAGAAGCUCCAAGACAACAUCACCCGUCGUGACGACGAACGGAAGAACUUGAUCGAGGAGCUAGUCACUCGAGUCGACGAGGUCGAGGACCUCAAGACGAGAGUGACUAUCCUUGAGAAGGCGGUGGCUCGAGGCGGUGAGACGCAGAAGGAGUACACCCCAAAGGUCCGCGUCCCUGAACCCCAAUGCUUCAAGGGAACGCGCGACGAGAAGGAGAUAGACAACUUCCUUUGGCACAUGGAGCGCUAUCUCAAGGCGCUGCGGAUCGAGGACGAGGAGGACAAGGUCCAGACCGCUUCCAUGUACCUCACCGACGACGCGAUGCUGUGGUGGCGUCGGCGUUCUGCAGAAGCCGAGAAGGGCCAAUGCAAACUGGAUACUUGGGAGGACUUCGUGCGCGAACUCAAGGCACAGUUCUACCCCGAGCACGUCGAAUACUUGGCGCGGAGGCAACUUCGACGGCUCAAGCACACAGGAUCCCUCAAGGAGUAUGUCAAGGAGUACUCCAAACUGAUGCUUGCCAUCACCAGCAUGGCCGAGGAGGAUCGGCUGUUCUUCUUCCUCGACGGUCUCCAACCGUGGGCUAACAAGGAGCUCGUGGCGAGAGACGUCAAGGACGUGAGCUCCGCUAUCGCUCAAGCGGAGAAGCUGCUGGAGUAUGACAAGCCAGACUUCGCUCGUGGCAAACCACCUAAGGCGGGCAAGGCCAAGGGUGGGGGAGACCGCCGCGAGCAGCGUGAUCACAAGGGCCAAGAGCGAAGAGGCCCUCCGCAGAAGAAGAAGAUCUCUUGCUAUGUCUGCGGGGGUGAUCACUGGGCGAGAGAUUGCCCAAAGAAGAAGACCGUCAACGCCAUCCAAGCUGAGGAGAGCGAGGAACAAGCGGAGACGAAGAUGGGCGCGCUACGACUCGUCAGCGCGAUCCAGGGGCAGGCGAGCAGCAAACCGCUCAAGAAGGAGCUGCUGUUCGUGGACGUGACCCUCAACGGGAGGGCCACUCGAGCGCUCGUGGACACUGGGGCGACCCACAACUUCAUCGCCGAGUCUGAGGCCAAACGGCUGGGCCUCACACUCGAGAAGGACACGAGCAAGAUCAAGGCUGUCAACUCGGUGGCACAGCCUGUCGUGGGAGUAGCCAAAGGGGUGACGAUCGCUGUAGGACCCUGGUCGGGUACAGCGAACUUCACCGCCGCGACCAUCGACGACUUCAAAGUCAUUCUCGGCAUCGACUUUCUAGCUUCAUCGAAAGCGGUCCCGAUGCCGCAUCUCGGGGCCUUGAGCAUCAUGGAGGAGGCAGCCCCGUGCAUGGUCUUGGCUAGCCGCAGCGAGCCAGCGGCAACCCACACCCUCUCCGCUCUGCAACUGCGGAAGGGGGUAAAGCGCGGAGAGAUCACUUAUCUUGCGGCCAUCCGCGAGGUGAGCGACGAGGACCUCGAGGAGGAGGACCAUCCAGCGGUGAUCGAUGCAGUCCUGGGGGAGUUCAAGGACGUCAUGCCCCAGGAGUUGCCCAAGAGACUUCCACCAAGGCGGGAGGUGGACCAUGCGAUCGAGCUCGAGCCAGGAGCAAAGCCACCAGCAAAGGCACCAUACCGCAUGGCCCCGCCAGAGCUCGAGGAGUUGCAGCGUCAACUGAAGGACCUCCUCGAUGCGGGCUUCAUCAGGCCGUCGAAGGCACCCUACGGAGCACCAGUCUUGUUCCAAAGGAAGAGCGACGGAAGCCUGCGGCUCUGUAUUGACUACAGAGCGCUCAACAAGGUGACGGUAAAGAACAAGUACCCUAUUCCUCUUGUUGCUGACUUGUUUGACCAGCUUGGCGGAGCGAAGUUCUUCACCAAAUUGGACCUUCGCUCGGGGUACUACCAAGUCAGGAUCGCGGAGGGCGAUGAGGAGAAAACGGCAUGUGUGACGAGGUAUGGAGCCUACGAGUUCCUCGUCAUGCCAUUCGGCCUGACGAAUGCGCCGGCGACCUUCUGCACCCUGAUGAACAAGCUAUUCCACCCCUACCUCGAUCGCUUCGUGGUAGUGUACCUCGACGACAUCGUCGUGUACAGCAACACUCUGGAGGAGCACGUCGAGCAUCUGCGGACGAUCUUCCAAGUGCUGCGGGAGAACCAACUCUAUGUCAAAAGGGAGAAGUGCUCCUUUGCGAAGGAGGAGGUGCACUUCCUUGGCCACUGGAUCGGCCGAGGACAACUCCACAUGGACCAGCAGAAAGUGCGGGCGAUCUGCGAGUGGGAAGCGCCCACGACGGUGUCCGAGCUGCGAUCCUUUCUCGGACUCGUCAACUACUAUCGCCGCUUCAUCGCGGGCUACUCUGCUCGAGCGGCCCCUUUGACGGAUCUGCUGAAGAAGACCCAGUCAUGGGACUGGACCCCUCGAUGCGCGGAGGCAUUCGAGGACUUAAAACGGGCGGUGACGGAGGAUCCGGUGUUGCGGCUUCCCGACUGCAGCCGUCCAUUCGAGGUACAUACUGACGCCUCGGACUUUGCCAUUGGUGGUGUUCUCGUGCAGGACGGACACCCCAUCGCCUAUGAGAGCCGCAAGCUCAACGACACCGAGCGGCGGUACACGGUGCAGGAGAAGGAGAUGACCGCUGUGGUGCACUGCCUCAGGACCUGGCGGCACUAUCUCCUUGGAAGCAAGUUCGUGGUGCGGACGGACAAUGUCGCGACGAGCUACUUCCUUACUCAGAAGAAGCUGUCACCCAAGCAGGCGAGGUGGCAGGACUUCCUGGCGGAGUUCGACAUGGAGCUCUCGUACAAACCCGGGAAGGAGAACCAAGUGGCUGACGCACUCAGCCGCAAGGCGGAACUGGCAGCGGUGUGCCAGAUCCAAGGCGCGAUCAGGGAGCGAAUCCGCGAAGGGACUUGCGAAGACCCUGUGGCCCAAGGACUCGUGCGACUCGUCAAGGAGGGCAAGGCGCAGCGGUUCUGGCUUAGCGAUGGGCUGCUCCUGACCAAGGGGCGUCGCGUCUAUGUGCCCAGGUGGGGCAAUCUUCGUCGCGAGCUCAUGAAGGAGUGUCAUGACUCCAAUUGGGCCGGACAUCCAGGACAGAAGCGGACGAUGGCGCUGCUCGAGGCCGCCUACUAUUGGCCUCGCAUGCACGACGACGUGGAGGCGUACGUGCGGACUUGCCUUGUGUGCCAGCAAGACAAGGUGGAGCGCCAGAAGCCUGGGGGCCUCCUCGAGCCCCUGCCUACACCGACGCGUCCGUGGGAGAGCAUUUCCAUGGACUUCAUCUCCGCCUUGCCCAAGGUGGGGACGUUGGGGUCCAUCCUCGUGGUGGUGGACCGAUUCUCCAAGUACGGGACUUUCAUCGCGGCACCAGCGGAUUGCACGGCGGAAGAAGCGGCGCGGCUCUUCGUCAGCAAUGUGGUGAAGCUUUGGGGCAUCCCCGAAAGCAUUGUGAGUGACCGAGACCCUAGGUUUACGGGCAAGUUCUGGACAGAGGUGUUCCGGAUCUUGGGGUCGGAGUUGCUCUUUUCCACCAGUUUUCACCCACAGACGGACGGCCAGACGGAGCGGGUGAAUGCCUUACUGGAGGAGUACCUGCGGCACUAUGUCAGUGCCAACCAGAAGGAUUGGGUGCAUCAUCUGGAUGUGGCCCAGUUCUCCUACAACUUGCGGCGGAGCGAGUCAACCAACCUCAGCCCGUUCGAGCUGGCAACGGGGAGGCAACCACUCACUCCGCAUUCUGCUGCUGCGGGCGAGCAGGGCCGCAGCCCAAUGGCUCUCCAAUUCACUUCUCAUUUGCAGGAGAAGGGGGACAUUGCGAGAGCCUAUCUCGAGAAGGCGGCCCGCCGAAUGAAAAAGUGGGCCGAUGCAAAGCGGCGACCCUUGGAGUUUGCCGAGGGAGAUCGAGUGUUGAUCAAGCUGCAACCUCAACAGUUCAAGGCUUUUCGCAAAGUGCACCGUGGGCUUUUGCGAAAGUACGAGGGGCCUUUCACUGUCAUCAAGCGAGCGGGCAAGGCAGCCUACAAACUGCAACUCCCCGCCAACCUGAAGAUUCAUCCUGUCUUUCAUGCUAGUUGCCUGCGGCCCUACCAUGAAGACGCUGAGGACCCGAGCCGGGGCGUGUCGCAGCGCGCUCCCGCCACUAUGACCACUGCAAUCGACAAGGAGGUCGAAGCCUUGCUGGACACUCGCACCAUUCGGCGUCGCGGAGUCCCGAGGAGCGUCGAGUACCUUGUCAAGUGGAAGAAUCUCCCGCAUGGCGAGGCAAGCUGGGAGAAGGCUGACACUCUCUGGAAGUAUCAGAAGCUGAUCGAUGACUUCCAACACCAGCGCGCGACGAGGGCGUCUGCGCAAUAGGUGGGGGAGGUUGUCACGACACAAAGAUUUUCUCCGCGAUUUCGCUUUGCAAUCACCCGAACUCCAAAGCGGACAUCUGACGGAGGUUUUGGCUUGGAACCUUCUGGAAGCUUCUACGUGGAUCUCGAGGCUGAUUGGCGCGGAUGCCGAGGAGUCAAGAGUCCCUUGGGGUUUCUAGGUAGCCAUUAAUGUACUUAGAGUUUCUAUGCAUAUUUAUUAUGACUCUUGGGAGACCGUAGCGUACUUAUUGGCCUCCCCUUUUGGCUUGUAGUUUCAUGCCACUUGGCAUCUUAUCAUUUGCUUUAUGGGCGGCGAGUGGCCUAUAUAUAGUGUGGCCUCCACCCCUCUCAUUUCAGAAUCUACUAUUGUAUUCUCCAAGUUGAAGUAAUAGAAGAGCUUUCUUCUUAUCUCUCUCUUGUACUUAGUCUAGGGCGAGUGAGGUCCUAACUUAGCAAGUAGAGAGGCAGGCUUGCUCACUUCGCGAAGGAAGGCGAGCGCCGCACGGGCUUUUGCGAGCAAAUUCGUUAAGUCCGUGACAGGUAGCUCCCUCUCGGGCGAUGAGCUCUGGAGUAGUCAUCACUGGGUUGUAGCGAGUAUCUUUCCAGAGGACGGUCCCGUCGGGUCGUAGCGAGUAUCUCCCCGAUAGUAGAGAUUUGGGUUGGUGAGUUUGUUGAGGGCGAAACCUACGGGUUAGCCAAGAGAUUGGGCAAUGGAAUUAUGAUUUUGCAUUCAUCAUGAGCAUUCUUUUGAGCAUAGCAUUGUAUAUAUUGUUCAGGCAUAUUAGCUGCAUUUGUUAGUUGGUUGCUAUCUAUCUAUUCUUCUAUUAUGCUUGAUUUAGACCUAGUGGGAAAGUCGGCGAGGUCGGCGGCCGAACCCACUGGAAACUUUGUUGUAGUUCUCACCCUACUAUUUCCACAGAGCCGGGACAGAGCGAGCCGGCGGAUGAUCGCGGUAAGGGUAUCGCGCUAUAGCUAGAGACCACCCGAGUUGGUUUCACAUUUUGGUUUAGUUGCACUACCCCUUUUAUAUCAUUUUUUGUAUUUUGAUGAUUAUAGAUAUUUAAAUAAAAGAACAUGAAUGAUGUAAAAGAAUUUAUAUGUGAUGUAUAAAAGAGAUGAUGCAAAGAAUGUAAAGAAAUUUUAUUAGAGUUGAAUGCAUGUAUGUGAUUUAAACUUAAUCAUAUUACUUGUAUGUUGAUCAAAUAGUACUUUCACUUUGGCUAUUGCUUGCCCUCGUACAAGCCAUUAUGAAUGCUUCCGCAUGUGCAAAUUUUAUACUCUAUUUGUACUUGUUGUUGAGCCUUGGGCGGACAGGGGGGGCUUUGUCCGUUCAGUGUCUGUUCAGCGGGUCCGAUCGGGUCAAAUAGGACCGGGUUCGGGGCGUGACAAAUGUAAUAACUUGUAAGAACUUGAUUGUAUUUGGAAGUAAGAAUCAAAGAAUUAAAAAUGUAAUAUGUGAUGUAAAUGUUAAACUGGGAUGAAUGCUUAUAAUAGCAUAGAUGUAUUUAUGUUUUUGAUACUUUCCUUACGCAAUCUUUGUUGUAUGUUGUUCCUGGUUGGAAGCUCGCGCAUUGUAUGGAUUGUGACGCCUUGGACGUACAGGGGAGACUCUGUCCGCGGUACAGGAGAAACCCUGUCCGUUCUGCGGUCUGUCGGUGUGCCCGAACCGACCAAAUAGGCGAGUUCGGGGCGUGACAAAAGAACUCCCUGCCGGAGGAAAGGAAGGUAUAUGAGCAAGAUCGGGAGAAGCUGAUAGAGGAAACAUGGUUGUACGACUUGAAAAAGAUGGUCUAGGAGGGAAACUUGCACUUGCUGCUGGGAAGGAUGAUGGUCCAGGAGCAAAAUAUGAUGCUGCUGUUGGAAGAAGGGUGCAGUUGGUAGGAAAGAUGGCGCAACAGAUCGUAGACCAGUGAAAAGCUGAUGCAUGGCAAUUUGACGAUCUAUCCACAUAUAUAACAGAUCGCCAUUCAAUGCCAUGAAAAUUGGCCUAUUGCGCCUAUCUUUUAGAGCUUCACAAACAACAAGUACACCAUCAGGAGACAAUUGAGCGACAUUGCUCAGCCUUUCCAUACACUCCUCUAUAGAGUGAAUUUUGGGUCUUGCUUGUAACUCACGUUGUUUUAUAGUUAGUGCAAUUUUCGUUCUUUUCUUUCCCAAUUCAACAAGCUCAUAAAUUGCUUCCGUUCGACCAUCAUCCUUACGUCUACGGGUUGAAGAUAGUGUAAGGAUUGGUGGGUGAGACCUAUAGCCUCUUCAUUGAUGAAGUGUGGCCAGAAGCACUACCAGUAUAUUGGCUACUGACUUUAUUUAAAGUUGGUAUUGGAGACGUUAAAUUUGCAUCAUUAGCAUCAUCUAAAUUCUAUGCUAGAUUCUCCAUGUUGAGCGCAACCGGAGAUGAUAAAGAGGUGCUAUGAACAUCCUCAUCCAUGUUGGAAGUAAACUCAUGCUUCCCGGUUGUAAUUGCCUUUCCCGACAAAAACUCAAUAGAUUGAUACAUGCAGGAAAAGCCUUGUCCCUACACUUAGCAUAUGCUGAAUUUUUCUACAAAUGUGAAAAUCAUUGAUGAUAAGUUAAUAAACUCUAUGUAAAAAAAAAAAAAAAACAACUUAUAUAAAAAUAUGAGCAAAAAAAAAAACUUACCGCUAUGAUAGUAUCCCAAUCAGCAGGGUCACCAGUAGUGGGAAUGUUUUGGGUGUAGUCCCACCCCCAUCCACUUUUGUUCGCUAGAGUUUGAUACAUCAAAUAUUGGCACUUCAAGACUUUCAACCGAUUUUGCAAAUUGAUUUUGUUAAAGCUCAAUUUUGUCCUCUCAUUGAAAUCGUGAACCAUUCGAGUCCAUGCUAAUGGGGUAAAGCUCCCAUUAACAAAAUUACCAAGAGCAUGCUCCUUAGUUAUUAAGUUCAACAUUACUGAGUCCAUUUUUUAUGUCCAGUUCGAGGAUCUUACUGGAGUUUUCGAUGGUUCCUGAGGUGCCCCAUUUAAACUUUGACCAUCAGCAGAGGGAGCAUCAAAGCCUUUGUUUUUCAACGGCUUUUUAAGAGGGCCCAUCUGGGAUGAACAAGUAUAGAAAUCAUAUUUGUAUUACAACAAAUAUAUAAUAUUGGUUUAGCACAAUAUUUGAGUGAUAUGUUAUUUUGUCAAAAUGCUCAGGGGAGAAGGUUACAUAUGAUUUCAUGACGGAUGCAAUAGUUUUUAAAAAACCAUGCCGCCCAUGCCAUGAAUAUAUAUAUCGUCUUUCCCUACAUCAUUACUAUUAUAUUUUUAAAAUCGUGCCUCAAACUGAGGUGCAUUAGAUCAAGAUAUAGCUAGCCGCUUUCAAUUCAUUAUAUGAUCUCUUUGCAAUCUUACAUUGAGUUAUGUUCAGGUGAAAGUAAUUUUAGCUUCAAAGUUUCUUCAAAUCGAAAGAUCAAAAUUGUAUAAAAAAAUAUAAAAACUGUAUGAUGCAGUCAUAAAGUAUGAUCAGCAAUACAUGGGUGCUGUCAUAAAUUAUGGCAAUAGAAAAAUAAAUAAUCAAUCAUAAAUAAGGAUGCAAAGUUUUUGUAUAUCAAAUUAAUCUUUAAAGUGAUAAUCAUACAAAAUUCAAAAACUGUGGGUUUGUAAAAUACCUUCAAAUUGUUUAAAAAAAUGAGAUUUAACAGCAUGCGAGCAAAAGUGAAAGACAGAUCAACAAUAGGCCAGAAAAUUGGGGUAAAAUCUAUAAAACCUCACCUCGACGAGAUUAAUAGAACGUAGAAAUAAUCAAGAGUGAACUUCUACACCAGCACAGAUAUAGUAUAGUAGCAAAGAUUAGGUUCCAAGCAAGAUGCAAAAAAAAAACCAGUACCUUUGAAUCCCACUCAAAUUUAUAGACGAAAGGGGGCACGAAUAGUCCAUGCCUUCUACCUGCAAGGCUAGUGGUCGCACUAAAUGGGCGACUUGACAAACAGGGCAUACAUCUAGCAGAACGCACCUCGAUUUCUUGCCUCAGAAGCCCACAAAAGAGUUUGAGCGAAGCAAAAACCCAUUUAUGCCAGUCAAAUUCGAGGGUUUGAGAGAGGGGUUAGCAAUGAAAAUGGAUCUCGACUGGGAUCUUCCUCAGAGACUGCGAGAGGAGUAUGGAAGAAGAAAGUAAUAGGAAAGAGGAGUUACCGAUGAACGCAGAUCUGAUACGAGACCUUGCUCACUGAUUAUGCCCACUGCGAAAUGAUAAGAGAGGCAUAGAGCGACGGAUUUUGCUCGCCCAACACGAGGGGGAAGAAGAUCGGCAGAGUAAUGAGCGAAGGGAGAAGUAGGUGAAGAGCAUUAACAAAGAAGAAAGCAAAGGGGCCUCGCCUUUUUUCCAACCCUUGCCCCUGGGAUAAACCAGCGGAAAUGCCUUAUUCCGCUGGUCCCAUGGGAUAGCUCUUAACGGGUUAUCCUUGGAUAACCCAUUAAGAGCGGGAUAAAUUAUCCCACCAAAAAAAGGCUCUAUUUGGAUGGUUUGGCAGGAUAAAAUAGUCUAAACCCACUUUAUCCUGCCAACCAAACAGGGCCCUAGAGUAUAGAGUUUAAGAAACCAACAAAUUUCAACUAUAAGGUUAACAUGGCAACAAAAUAAAAGAAACUUAACAAAAAGAAAAGUAAACUAAAGAAAUUUAGCAACAACCUUAUGGUUUAACUCUAAAUUUCCUCUUCCCAAACCUUUCUUAUCUAAUAAGCCCUAUAUUCAUCCUUCAAUGGAAGUCAAGCCUCACGAUUUUUUUUCUUUCUUUGGAACACUCUUAAAGCUUUAAACAUCUCGUCUACGGUCUAUGAAUCAAGUAACGCAUAAAACAUCUCCAUACAUUUAUCAACUGAAUAUUUAUCAUCAUGAUAACCUUUUGUUUGAGGUUCUGCUACGGUGAUAAUGGCUUUAACAAUUUUUAUCAUCACCCAUUUCCUUUAUAAUUAGAUAAUCUCCUAUUUUAUCAACAUUUUCACUUUUUUGUUUUCUUUUUCUACAACUUGACGUAGUCUUGGCUUCUCCUUGAGUUUGUGUUUGUGAUUGUGAGGGUGGAGGCACCUGAACUAGGUGGGGUAUAUCACUUGGCGAAGGUAUUUGAGCUGACAAAUUGACCUUUUGAGUCUCUUCAACAUGUUUAUCAAAAUCCUCUCCGACACCUGGAAUUGUGGCUAAUGGAGACUCCGGUUGUGAUGACAGAUCAAUCUAGGGUGAUGACAGAUCAAUCUAGGAGGCCGACGAUGAACCUCUAGAGAGAUUAUUAUGAUACUCACAUCCACGAGCAUGUUUACUUUCUACGUAUGUGCCUUCAAUAUAUAAAGAUGAAGUACAUAUGAAUACUAAUUCUAUAAAAGAAAAAAAUAAACAAAAAUAUAUCUAUACCAUACCUUCAUAAAUAUCAUAGAGUGCUUCAUAUCAUGGAAAGGGCUUGUUGUGCCAUUUCCGAAGUUCUUUGUUAGUCUUCAAAAAAUAAAAAAAAAAUUUGCUAGAAUUGAAAAUAUAUAUAUAUAUAUAUAUAUAUAUAUAUAUAUAUAUAUAUAUAUAUAUAUAUAUAUAUAUAUAUAUAUAUAAAAUCAAUGUUUACUAUGUGAUACUCACAUUAAUCAACGGCUCCCAAACCUCUGAUGGAGCAAAAACCAUUUAUUUGUCUCCGUCCCAACCAAAGCCACUCAACUCUACUAAGCUUUUCACAACUAUAAAUUACUUCUUCAAUUGUUGUGCUCUUUAUCUUUCACUUGUUCUACUGUACAAUUGGCAUUUUCAAAAUAAUCUCCAAUCUAAAGGCCUUAUGCAUAAGGAAUACAGAUACCAAACACUCCAUAUAAUCCACAAUUCUUAAGGACUUAAAUAUGAGGUAUAGUAUAACAUGACUCGUUUAAUGCAGGGUCUACUCGAAACACAAUUCAAGCUACGAUUACUCCUUUUCGCAUGCCAAUAUGUCGAAUUGACGAGUAUAUUAACAAUUUGAGAAAGAUAAGUAACUCAUUACAUGAGGAACGAAUUCAUAUAUUCAAGCUCAAGUUAAGCUAGAGUGCCGAGUUCACACAAUUUGGACAUGUAAUGCCAGAAUUAACAAUUUAGUAUACUUGAAUUAAAUGAUUUUUGUUACAUAAUAGCUGCAACUACCUACAAAUAUGCAAGUGUUUCAAUCAUUUGAACAAGAAUCCAUUUACAGGUUGUUCUAUGGAAAUGCAAGAAGAAGCAAUACCUAUAAAUAUUAAGUAAAUUAAAAAUUUGCAUGUUAAGCAAAUAGUUUGAUAUUUUUUAAUUAAUUCAAGCUUGUUUGGCCAAGCUUCAUGUUACAGAUAUUAGCUUUCUAGGAUGGAAGCUACUGGAAACCAAAAAAAAAAAAAAAAUGAAGAUUCCUUUAAAAUGAAACCUAUUGAAAAAAAAAAAAAAAUCUAAUCAUUCUUUUUUUACCUGUUGGAGAAGGAAAAUAGGGUCGUGCUUCUCCAACCAUCGCAAGGCAAGGAGCGAGAGAAGAUCGAGGAAAAAAAAUGGCGGCCGAGGUUAGUGUCACGGCGACGGCCGAGGUUAGUGCCGUGGCGGCAGCCGAGGUGACCAUGAUUGCAGUGGCAGUAGCGGCGGCGCCCGAGAUGAGUGCGGCAGUGGUGGUGGCCGAGAUGAGUGCCGCGGUGGCGGCUGAGGUGAGAGCGGCGGCAGCGAUGGGAGGAAGCUCUAGUUGGGAGUUGUAGAGAGGGCAACGAGAGGGAGAGAGAUGAGAGGAAGUCAGGCGAGUUGGGUAGGCGGCCCAAAAAAUAGCAUAAGUUUUUUAGAGAAAAUAGUAGAUUUUACUUUUACCUUACUUUUAAGAAUAUAGUUUAACUAUAACCUAUUUUGUUAGUGUGUUUUUGAAUCAUCCAAACACCUCUUAGAAAAUUUUUCCUACACCCAUAACAUAGAUAUACUAAACUCCAAAAAAAUGAGCAUCCAAACAGACCCUAAAUAUGUCAUCACAUUCCUUAUCAACCGAACGUAUAAAUUUCUUGAAUAAAUCAAAAGGAUAUACCGAAUAAGAUAUUCAUAGAUUCAAAACAGAUUAGAGACUAGAUUUGAGAUUUGAGAUUUGAGAGUAGGCAAACAAUAAAUAUCAAAAACAUCAUAUUUGAGAUCUGUAAAACAUAACUGCAAAAAAGAAGCAUACAUUUCAAAGUUGCUCUUAAAUUGUGGAGACUGGCAAAGAUAGGGGUAUCAUGUAACUCCUACGAAUCAAUAUAGUAUCAUAUUAAAAGAACACAAAUUUCAACUAAGAAAAGGUUAAUACUAAAAUAAAUAAAUAGAUCUAACAAUUGCUUUUUCAAUGUUUUCGUCACAAUCAAAAUAAUAAUAAAAGCAUAACCAUAUAUGCGACAGUUCGUCAAUCACUUGGAGCAUCGUUUACCCUACUAUAUAUUUUUUUUGUAGGGCAAAAAAUGGAGAAGCAUUUACAUAUAUAUCUAAGCCAAAAAAAAAAGGAAAUAUUCCAACAAAAUCAUUUAUCUACAUAUAUUUUUUUGUAUGAGUAAGGGUACAAAUGUAAGAAAUUAAGCUUUGAAAAUGUCUAUAUGAUACAAAUGUACAUAUAUAAUUUUGCAAAAAUAGAUAUGAAAAUAUGGGCUGGGGCUACUAUACUCAUAUGAGUAUAGAGCCCUUUGUACUCAUAACUUUUCGACCGUUUGGAUGAAAAAUGUGUGGUUAGGAUGUACGGUUAGGUUGAUAGUGGGCCCCCUAGGGUUGAGUGGGUGGUUGGUUGAAUAGUAUAAUCUAACGGGUGAAAAUGAUUAAAAGGUAGAUCAAACGGCCAAAAAUUUAUGAGUACAAGAGGCUCUAUACUCAUAAGAGUAUAGUAGCUGGGCUCUGAAAAUAUGUCCACAAAAAAAAAAAAAAUAGAGAAUUAUCUCUAAUGAAUGACAAUAAGGGCAAUAUCGAUAUCAUCAUCAGUGCAGAAGUUAUCUUGUCAUAUGCAGGAUACCUUUGUUUCAAUGCGAGACCUCAGAUAGUCCUAUAUAUAAGAUAUAAUAGAGCUAAAAAUUUUUAACCCGGCUUAAGCAUUUUAGAUGAUGGCUAGGCCCAAGAGGUUAAAAGAGUUAAGCGUGCUGGGACGAGAGUAGUUCUAGGAUGGGUGACCCUCUGGGAAGUUGGGGCAUCAUAGUUGGUAUCAGAGCCAAUUACUAGCCAAAUGUAUGAGAUGAGUUUCGACAGAGUCAGGGUCAGAAUAACAAGGCUAGCAAGGCGAGUCUCACAUCGCCUGAUACUUAUGAGUCUGAACCUGACAAAGACGUUAGGACUUAAAGAGGGGAAGAAUGUGAGACCCAAGAUAGUCCUAUAUAUAAGAUAUAAUAAGGCUAAAAACUCUUAAUCCGACUUAAAUAUUUUGAGUGGUGGCUAGGCUUAAGAGGUUAAGAGAGUUAAGCAUGCUAGGACGAAAGUAGUCCUACGAUGUGUGACCCUCAAGAAAGUUGCGGCAUCAUAGUGGGUAUCAGAGUCAAUUACCAGCCGUUGUGAGACGAGUCUCGGCUGAGCCAGGGUCGGAAUGACAAGGCUAGCGAGAUGAGUCUCACAUUGCAUGGUACUUGUGAGUUUGAGUCUGACGAGGACGUCAGGACUUAAAGUGGAGGGGGGGGGGAAAUGUGAGACGCUAGAUAGUCCUAUAUAUAAGAUAUAAUAGGGCUAAAGACUCUUAAUCCGGCUUAAAGUGGUGGCUUGCAUUAAGCGGUUAAGAGAGUUAAGCGUGUUAGGAUGAGAAUAGUUAUAGGAUGGGUGACCCCCUAGGAAGUUGAGGCGUUACACAUAACUGUGACAUUAAAACUAAAACAAGAAGCAUGUAUUCUUUCUUGUGUCAUAGAAGCUGACCAGAUUGGACCACCAAGAUUGAAUUACUGUACAUAGUGAGUGCACAGUUAGGUGACGUUUCGUUGGAGUAUAAGGGAAUAACCCCUAUCCCACCCUUUGUGGGGGAAUAGGGGUGGGAACAGUUAUUUCCACCCCUAUUUAAUUUCUAAAAAAAUUUAAAUUUAAAAUUUAAAAUUUAAUUUUUAAAUUUUAAAAAUUUAUAAUUUGUAAUCUUAAAAUUAAAAUUUUAUAAUUUUAAAUUCUGAAUUGGCUAAAUUAUAUAAAACCCUCUUGUCAAAACCUGAUUUUUCACUUUUCCCUCUGUCAUUUAAAAACCUACACUUUGCCCCCUUGUUAAAUGAAAAAUGUUCACAGGGGGGUACGGUGUGUAAAAUGAUCAUUUUGCCCCUCACCAUUUUCGUCUCCUCCCUCAUCUUCCUCAACAGCAGCCUCAAUCGGCCGCGGUUUACGCCUCAAUCGGCUGUGGUUUCUCUCCAUUUUCUUCUCCACCUGCUCCCCUCUUCUCCUGCACCCUUGCCGCCCCUUAAUUUCGGCGACAGCAGGGUGGAAAUCGAGGUCGGGAUGGAUGGAGAGGUGGGUAAUGGCAACGAAGGCGAAGGCGAGGUGGCAGAGGAGGGCGAAGGGGUGUUUGUGGGCGUGGACGAGGAUGUGGGCGAGGGCGAGGCAGUGAAGGAGGGCGAGGCGGCGAGGCGGCGAAGUAAGGAAAAGGGCGGAGGGGCAUUUUUGGUAUAAAAAAAUAUUUUAUAACGGAAUCCUAACAGAUCACUAACGGUAGGGGGCAAAGUGCACAUUUUUUAUUUUACAAUGAGGCAAAGUGUAGGUUUUUAAAUGAUAGGGGGCGGAAAGUGAAAAAUCGUGUUUUGACAAGGGGGUUUUCUGUAAUUUAGCCUUCUAAAUUUUAAAUUUUAAAUUGAUAUUUUAAAAUUUUUAAAUAUAAAAUUUGAUAUUUUAGAUUUUUAAUUUUAGAUUUAAUCUUAAAUUUAAAAUAUAAAAUAUGCAAAUUAGAACUUUGAAUUUUUGAAUUUGAGAUUAAAAAAUUUAAAUUUAAUUUUAAAUUUUUGAAAUUUAAAAGUUAUAUAUUUAAAUUUAAAAAUUUAAAUAUAAAAUUUUAAAAUUUAAAUUCAAAUAUAAUAUAAGGGAUAAUAUUAUUAUUUUUUAUUUAUAACUACGCAUUAUUUUUCUUAUUCCAUCUUAUCUAUCUAUCCGAAUAUUAUUUUUCUUAUUCUAAAAAAUAACUUAAUUUUUAUCCUAACACAAAAUUAGUUUAUUUUAAAUUUAUAUUUAAAUUUAUACUUAUUUUUUAAAUAGAUAGUUGUUACUUGUAUCGGAAGCACACAAAAGAGUAAGCCUAUGCUAUUUGAUUGGUUAACAGAGACAAUUUUAAACCCAUCAUUUCACGUCCGACCAAAAGUAAUUAUUAUUAUUAUUAUUUUUUGAGAAAAAAAUUGUCUAUCCGCUUCAUUCAUUAAACGAAAUGAUCUAAACUUAUAAGAUAGAAGCAACCAAGACUUCCGAGGAAAAAGAAAAGAAAAAGCAAAGAUAAAAAAAAAAAGUAAAACGAUCGAAAAAUAAACAAACGAAAAUAGAAUGGUGUAAAAUGAGUAGUAGACUAUGCUUUAUUAUUAUUAUUUUUUUAACCGAAGGGUAGCAUGCUAUCUACUUUAUUUAUUAAGUAAAUAAAUUUAAAACGAAAAUAGGAUGGUGUGAAAUGAGUAGCACACUAUGCUUUAUUAUUAUUAUUAUUAUUUUGACAGAAGGGUAGCACGCUACCUGCUUUAUUUAUUAAGUAAGUAAAUAAAUUUAACUACAUAAAGUGAGACAGUUAAUUAGGACGUCAAGAAGGCCGAGAGUCAGCAAAAAAUAAAAAAACCAAAAAAAAAGAUGAUUAAUUAUGAUGAUAUUGAUAUUGAUAACUAUGGCCUAAAAAUGAAUAUAUGAUGAUUAAUUAUAACCAGGAAUAUAUUUAGCGGCUCUUCAGAAAUUUUUUUUUAAUUUUUUUUUCUUUUUUUUCUCCCGCUGGCCAAAUAGCAAGUAAGUAAUAAGAGCAUUAAAUCUCGUAUAUAUACAUAGGUACGUAGGUUCAAUGACUAAUAAUUUUGUCAUAAAGGAUUUCUUGUUNGUAAACUGCUGCUUUAAAAUGAAAAUUAUACUCUUUGAACGAAAAUUAUACUUUUUUGGGUAAUAUUUACACUGUUUCUAUUCUUAUUGCACUUUUUCAGAUGUAAACUGUAUUCAUUAAAAUGAAAAUUAUACUCUUUAAACGAAAGUUGCACUGUUUUUCUCUUGUUGCACCAUUUCUCCUCUUGUUAUACUAUUUUUUAUCUUAAACUGCACCAUUUUAAGAGAUAUUUAUAUUGUUUAUCCUCUUGUUGCACUGUUUCUCCUCUUGUUGCACCAUUUAUGUGUAAACAAGAGAAGAAAUAGUAUAACAAGAGGAGAAACUGCACUGUUUUAAGAGAUAUAUCUAUUGUUUCUUCUCUUGUUGCACUGUUUCUCCUCUUGUUGCACCAUUUCUGUGUAAACAAUAGGAGAAAUAGUACAACAAGAGGAGAAACAGUGCAAUAAGAGAAGAAACUGCACCCUUUUAAGAGAUAUUUAUACUGUUUCUUCUCUUGUUGCACCAUUUUUGUGUUAACAAGAGGAGAAAUAGUGCAACAAGAGAAGAAACAGUGCAACAAGAGGAGAAACAGUAUAAAUAUCGAUGCAAUUUAAGGUAAAAAAAUAGUAUAAUAAGAGAAAAAUAGUGCAACUUUCAUUUAAACAGUGUAAUUUUCAUCUUAAUGAUUACAGUUUACAUCUGAAAGAGUGCAAUAAGAAUAGAAACAGUGUAAACAUCUCCCAAAUAGCGUAAUUUUCGUUCAAAGAGUAUAAUUUUUAUCUUAAAGCAGCAGGUUUAUAUCUUAAAUAGUGCAGCUUAUAAUUUUUUUUGUAAUUAACGAUACAAUUUCAUCUUCAUCAUUCUUUUUAUAUAAUUUUUUAUCUUUAUUUUUUUCUAUUUUUUUUUAUAAUUUUUUUUUGUCACCUUCUCUGCCAACAGCUAAAGCGCCGGUGACGACGCCGCUAAGGACCCCUCGCUCCGAGGCUGUAGCGCCGCAGUGGCUUCUACGGUGUCGACGUCGGCGCCGGCGAAGAUAAAUCGUCGUCGGAGGCGGCAGAAAAUGAGGAAGAGGGAGAGAUGAGAAGGGCGGGGAAGGGCGAGAGAGGCGUGUCGUCGGAGACGGUAGAGAAGAGUCGGAGAAGAAAAGAAAAGAAAAAAAUAAAAAAAAAGAGUCGCGGCGCGGCCUUGGCAGGGUUGGAGGCGAGGAAGGUGGGGGAUGCAUGGACGAGGGCGAGGCAAGGGCGAGGGCGAGAGCAUGAGGGUGAGAGGCGAGACGGACCGUUUCUGCCUCCGCUCCGCCUCUGCUCUGCCGGCGAGAAAAAAAAAAAAACUAGAGAAACGAAAAAGAGAGAGAAAGAGGAAAGAGAAAAAGUAAAAAGGGUAUUUUAGUCAAUUUGCUGAAAAAGUGGACCGAAUCUGCAAAAAUAAAAAAAAUGGCCCGAUUUUACAAAAAUCCAAAAUAAAUGAAUUUUUUAUGCAAAUUGGCCAUUUUAAAAUUUAGAAAAUGAUCCCGUCAAAAUUUUAUUUGAAAAAAUAACCUUCCUUCCGCCACGUGGGCACACGUCGGAAUUUUACUAUAAAGACGGUGAAUGAUUCACCGCCUUCAUUAUGAAGGCGAUGAAUAUAUAUAUAUGAAAGCGGUGAAUUAUUUACCGCCUUUAGUACAAAACACUUUAAAUUUAUCGAAAUUUAUCUAAAUCCUAGAGUGAAAAAUAGAUAAGACGGUGAAUGUGAAUCAUUCACCACUUUCAUUAUAUAUAUGUGAAGGUGGGCGGUGAAUUAUUUAUCAUUUUUAUAGCAAAAUUCUGACGUGGCAAAAGAAAGAUUAAUUUUUCAAAUAAAAUUUUGAUAAAAUUAUUUUGCCAAUUUCGAAUUUUUGGAAGUUCAUUUUAUUUUAUAAAAAAAGCCCACAGACAAACCCCACUUCGCCCCCGCUCUCCUGCUUCCUCCAAACACGCUCUCUCUCUCUCUCUCUCUCUCUCUCUCCCCUCCUCUUCGUGCGCUCCUCUCUCAUCGCAGUUCUGUCGGGUCGGGAUCGGGUCGGGUGAGUCAAAUAUCCAAUCGCUGGAUCUCCGAUCACUAUUCCUGCUCCACUCUUCUCCAUUCCGAUCUCUUCUUCUACUGUUUCUUGUUUAAUUUUUUUUUAAAUUUUUUUGAGCAAUUUCAAUUUAUUACAGCUAGAUCUAAUCAGUGAGAAGGGAAGGGAGAUGGCGUGAACUGCAGCAAGCACAGAACGGCAUCGAUGCGGCGCCUUCAGUCGGAUGAGAUGGUUUCUCUUCUCAUCGCGACAACCGAAUUGUCGGAAGAAAGCUGUAUAAAAUUUCUGCUAUGAGGAAAAAUCUGGGCGGCGGCAGCAUCCAUCUGGGGCCGUCGGCGAGGGCUUUCAGCGACAGAAGGUGGCUUCUCCCCUUCUUCACCCUCUUCCUCGCCACGAUCUUCGGCCUUUUCUCGCCGCCGCAGGGCGCCGGCGACUCCCUCCUGCUGGAUCUGGAUGUAGCUUCUCUUGCCAACUUCGAUGACGCCGACGGGUACUUUGCGGCGUCGGAGGCCAGGAGGAGCGCGCUGCCGCUGCCGCUGCCGCUGCCGCUCGUGGACGAGGAAGCGCCGCGAAUUGCUUACCUUAUCACCGGCACCAAGGGCGACAGUCAGCGGAUGAAGAGAGCCUUGCAGGCCGUAUAUCAUCCGCGGAAUCAGUACAUUCUGCACCUGGAUCUGGAGGCCCCGCCCAGGGAGCGGAUAGAGCUGGCCGUGUACGUCAGGGGUGAUCCCACGUUCGCCCGCGUCGAAAACGUCCGCGUGAUCGCCAAGGCCAACUUGGUUACCUACAAAGGGCCCACAAUGAUCGCCUGCACCCUCCACGCCGUCGCCCUUCUCUUGAGGGAGAGCUUGAACUGGGACUGGUUCGUAAAUCUCAGCGCCUCCGACUAUCCUCUCAUGACUCAAGAUGGUCAGUAUCCGUGCGAAAUAUCGCGCCCGAUUCUUUCUCUCAUUAUCUCUUCAUGCUCUCUGCCUAGUGAUUUACUUAAUUACUGAUUUAAGACGCGCCAGGUGCCACCGAUAACACGGCUUAAAACUCUGUAUUCUUUAAUAAAUUAUCAAGUAAUUUUCUCAAUAAAGCGCGUGAAAGAUUUGAUGAUAAAGAUACGUAAUAAUAAGCAAUUAGAGUAUUUCUGCUGCUAAUAGCAGCAAAUAAAUAUUUCAUGCCGUUACACGACCACGACGGCGACGGCGACGGCGGCACGCAUGUGAUUAAACCGAAAUAUUUAGUCAGGACAACUCCUAACUAGUGAUUUUUUAUUAUCUAGAAAAUUGUGGUAAGAUGAUCUUCAACGAAAGCAAAAUCAUGCGGCGGAGGACAAUGCAAUUUUGGCGAGCAAAUGUACUCGACAUCUUUCAUACAACAGUAACUAAUAAGUGAAUUCACAAGCUCUGUGUGUGUGUUUCAUUUUUUUUUUUUUUUUUUUUUUUUUUUUUUUUUCUUUCCCCUUCUGUAAGAUGCCUUUUGGCAUCCAGCUGAGUCGCAUCGCAAGCUAGCCAACGAACGACAGGAGCAGCGAAGUCCACCCGACAUGAUAUUUUACAAGACUGAACUCUUCGUUCAUCUGUUAUACUAAUAUUGGUCAUAUUUUGCAUAACUAAAUAGCACAUGAGUAAUGUAUUCGAGCAUUCAUUGCAAAAGUAGGCCUUCCUCAUCGAGCUACAAAAUUUUGCUGUGACUUAUAGUAUGAUGACUAUUUCUGUACAGAUAUACUUCACGUGUUCUCAUCUUUGCCGAGAAAUCUCAAUUUUAUAGAACACAUGCAGAUUGCAGGGUGGAAAGUGUAAGACGAACUAUUCAGCAUUUUAUUUCUUUCGCUUGUAGUGAUCGAUCAUACUUUGCUACUUCUAAUUGUGAGUUUAUUUUGAAUGAUGCAGGGGCCAAAGGGCUAAACCAAUCAUUGUCGAUCCAGGCAUUUAUUUGUCCAAAAAAUUCGACAUCGUUGUGACUACCGAACGUCGGGAACUGCCGACAUCUUUCAAGUUAUACACCGGUAAGCUAUUUGAACCCGCUAAUGCUAUGAAACUUCUGCCCAUCCUAUUUUGUGUGGUGUAACAGAACUUCCGAUUAUUCUGCUAUGUUUAAAGUUCUCAAAGCUAUACGUCCUUUUACACUUAAUAAUUGAAAAUGAUGAUGGAUAGGAACACCAAAAGACAUUCCCUUAGAAAAGCUAUGGAUAGUCGUAGUGCCGGAAUUUUUGGAAACAUGCGGGCUGAGACUGUGGAGUUAAGUGAAUAGCAUAAUACAUGCUUAGAUUAAUGCUAAAUUCAAGCCUCGUGAAGCUUGCUUGACUCGAGUAUGGAUUAUUAUUGUGUCAUGGUAUUCCCCCAUGCCAAAGCGUAUUCUGUUGUGAAACUUCAUACGGCGAAUGGUGCUGCUGGACCGCAACCGCAUGUCAGCACAGAAAAAUCCGUUCAAAACUUUCGAAAUGUGGUGUUUAAUAUAACUACUUUUGCUUUAUUGAUUGAUUCGCUCUAAGCAGUGGAUUUCAAAUAUUCACCCGCUAUUUGUCACUAAUUCCAUCAGAUAUCCUUUAGCAUGGAUAAUGAAUUGGAAGGUUGUCUACUGGGGAAAUCAUUCUUGCCGAAAAUCAACCGUUAAAAAAUUAUAUCAAAUGAAACUCUCCAAAGAAAGAGAAGAUAAAGUAGUUUACAGGGGAAUCUAAAGCACCUUUUAAAAGAAAAAAAAAAAAGAAGAAGAAAGAUAUCAAAAAAGGUGACUUUUCGCAGAAAGAUAAUCAAAAAGUGUAUUAGCAGUAGUGCAAAAGUUCUUGCUCAAGAUAUAAUCGUUCUACGCUACGCCAUAGGGAGGUAUAGUUUUGGCAUCGCGUUAGACACGGGAAUUAUAUUAAAUAUUGAUCCAUGUAGUAAGGAAUGUCCCUGCUGUUGAGCACUUGUAUGCACUUCCUCAUCUCUUGUAUAUCUUGUAAUUCAGGUUCGGCUUGGGUGAUGCUGGCCCGAUCCUUCCUCGAGUACUGCAUAUGGGGAUGGGAAAAUCUCCCUCGGACCAUCCUAAUGUACUACGUCAACUUCAUCUCCUCGCCUGAGGGGUACUUCCACACUGUGAUCUGCAACUCCGAAGAGUUUCGAAACACGACAAUCGGCCACGACCUGCACUACAUUGCCUGGGACAACCCGCCCAAGCAGCAUCCCCUCUCCCUCUCCGCCAAAGACUUCAAUAAGAUGGUCAAGAGCGGGGCGCCCUUUGCCAGGAAGUUCGCAAAGGAUGACAAAGUGCUGGAUAAGAUCGAUCGCGAGCUCUUAGGUCGGUCGGACGGCCAGUUCACCCCGGGAGCUUGGUGCGUUGGCAGAUCGGACGGCGGGGCAGAUCCAUGCUCCGCCAGGGGCAAUGAUUCUGCGUUCCGACCGGGUCCCGGAGCUGAGAGAUUGGAGGAGUUGAUGAAGAAGCUACUGUCUCAGGAUUUCCGAAAUGGAAGCUGUUCGUCGCUGGCUUACGAUCAGCCGACGAGACGGUGGAUUAUUCCCUGACGGCAUCAUGCUCGCCCUCUGACACUCCAACUGCAUUGUUGUGGAGCGAGAGCAAGUGCAAGUGCAUAACACAUGACUAUUUAUACGCUAAUUGAUGAUAUACAUACAGACUUAUAUGAAUGGCAUUGCCGCGUAAUUCAAGGGUUCGCAGGUUUCAUCUUUUCCUUUGUGAUUUCGAGUUGCCAAUUGCUGAGGAGUGAGAACUAGCGAGUUGAUCAUCAUCUGAAGGCUUAUAUUAGUCUGACUCGAGAGUGUUAUUUAGUUUUGGUAAAAAUGUAGGAUUCUGUCAAUUUUUUAUUUUAUUUUUUAAAUCAAGUAAUCUUAGCUAAAUAAAUUGAAAAUCUUAUCAUAUUAAUUGAUACUCCUAUCAAAUUUAAUACUUUAAACUAUUCCGUAGCGAGAUACAGCUAAUGCAAAGAUGAGUUUAAUGAAUGAGGAGUUUAACAAAACUUUAAAUAUUAAUUAUCUGUGAAAACUCGAUGGAGUGUUACAAAAUACAUACUUGACAUAGAGGUUUCUUGAUAACGGCAGAAGCUAUGAGUUUGACAACAAAAAAAAAAAAAAAGAAGAAAAAAUCUACCAACUCUGGCUAUAUUAUGAAACCAAAAUGGGCUUCUUGGAAGAGUUCUUAUUAGUUACAAGGACUAAAAACUACAAAUCGAGUUUGUCAAUUCAAUAAUCUAUAAACCUAUAUGAAGUCGCAAUACCUUUUGCCGCGUGGCAUGUUGCCUUUCAUUCUCAUAGCCCAACUUUAAAUCAAAUCACCUUCUUCUCUUCUCAAUGCUCAAUCCUUCACUUUCCCACUCCUCUAAUUACAUGCAAUAUGCUACAUUUAAUUACAUACACUAUAUUAAUAUUCUAUCAAUGAAUGUACUUUAUAACUUUAAUCCACUUUCCUUCUUCAUUAAUCUCCCACACCCCCUCUUUUGUAACUCUUUUGUAUGUACCAUAAAAAAACUUUUUGCCACGUGACAUAUUAACCUUCAUUCUCGUAACCCAACUUUAAAUCAAACCACCUUCUCUUCUCCUCAACGCCCAACCCUUCACCCUCCCACUCCUCUAAUUAUAUGCAAGGUGCAAUAUUUAAUUACAUGCACCAUAUUAAUAUUCUAUCACUGAAUGAGUUCUACCUAUAAUUUUAUUUUUUUAAUAGUUGAAUUUAGUCAUGCAAAUUGGUUGUGCUUAACAUGGUAUAACUUCCUAUAUAUCUGUCACGCCUCGAGCCCGAUCCUUUUGGCCGGUUCGAGAGCGUCAAACAGACGUCGAACGGACAGAGUCUCCCCUGUCCGCCCAAGGCUCAACAAUAGGUACAGAUAGAGUAUAAAAUUUGUAUAAGCGGAAGUAUACACAAUGGCUUGCACGAGGACAAGUAAUAGCCAAAGUGAAAGUAAUAAACUACACUUAGAAAAUCAUUUACAUUUUUGCAUCAUUUCUUCUCUUUUACAUCACAUGAUCUCAAAAUGUAAGUUUUUGCAUUGAAAUAUAAAAUAUCUUUUACAUCAUUCCUGUUCUUUUUCUUUAACAUCUAUAGUCAUCAAAAUACAAAAAAGUGAUGUAUAAAGGUAUGCAACUACAAAAUGAAAACCCACUCGGGAGGUCUCUAUCUAGGGCGCGAUGCCCUUACCGCGGUCGUCCGCCGGCUCACUCGGUCCCGUCUCUGUGGAAAUAGUGGGGUGAGAACUACAACAAAGUUCCCAGUGGGUUCGGCAACCGAUCAUGCCGACUUUCCCACUAGGUCUAAAUCAGGCAUAAUAGAAGAAUAGAUAGAUAGUAACCAAGCUAAAACAAAUGCAGCUAAUAUGCCUGAACAAUAAAUAAUGCUAUGCUCAAUAGAAUACUCAUGAUGAAUGCAAGGUCACUACUUAGAACCCAAUCUCUUUGCUAGCCCGUAGGUUUCGCCCACAAUAGACUCACCAAGUCAAAUCCCAAAGAUCGGGAAGACUACUACGCCCGACGGGAUCGUCCUCUGGGGAGACUACUACGACCCAGUGAUGACAACUCCGGAGCACAUCGCCCGAGGGGGAGCUACCACCCUCGAGCAAGGACUUACAGGUGAGUAUGAUCUAAUCCUUAACUAUAAGGAUGUCGAGUUCAAUCCAUUCCUUAACUAUAAGGAAGCCAUGCACUAUGACCCUUAACUCUAAGGUUGAAAUUGUCAUAAUGUCACUAUCACACUUUUACUUGCAUUCUUUACUUUCACUAGUGUCAUAUACACUACUAUGUUCUUAUACACAUGCCACACUUAUUUUCUAAGUGUUUUCCAACUCUAGCAUUCCCGACUCAUCAAUGUCACUUUUUACUUCUAUGUAAAGAUGUCACAUUUGUUUACUAAGUCUACUAAGUUCUUGUCACUUGUCAUGCAUGAAUAGGGUUUAUAAAAUUCUCACAUUCUUGCUAGUAACUCACAUGCAUUUGUACUCACAACAUGCAAUAAAUUGCUCACAUAUAACCCUACUAUGUAAUUUUAUGCUCAAUACACAUAUAUUCAAAUAUGACACUUUAAACAUAAAAGGAAUUCCGAGGUCAUCGGAAUGCACCACCCACCUUAUAUGGUUACAAAGGUGCUACGGUAAAUUUCUUGAAAUUUUUUGAAGCUCUACUUUUUCGCCUGCGGCAAAACGAAGCCAAAUUAGACUUUUUCUCAAUAACUUUAUCUAGAAUUUUUCGUAACGUCAAACGGAGUUGCCCCACGCGUCGGGAAUACCCCUAAUUAGGUUUUCAAGAGGUCAAUUUAUCUCGAAAAAAACCGGAGGCAAAAGCCCCAAAAUCCAUACCCUAACAAUGCCAUAAUGGAAUUUCUCCUAGUUUGAUCUCAUUUCUAAGCAAAAGCAAGCUUUGAAUUAACUAGGAAGCAUUCUAAUACCAUUUCUAAGCCAUUCGAACCAUUCCUAGGGCAUCUUCUAUGAUCCCUAGUUGUCCACCCUGAGAGGACCUUGAGAAAACCAUAAUUUUCAUGGAUUUCAAGGUUCGUUCGACGUUUCUAGGGUUAUUAGAGGAUCAAAACUCCAAAACUUAAAGUAAGAAUCCUAACCCUAGAGGAAUUCAUGCAUAAACUCACCUUAGCCACAAGCUAUCUCCAAGUCCUUCUUGUAGGAGAGCUUCUAAAGCCUUCAAAUCCACCAAGAUCUCCUCUCCAAGCUUCUUCUCCACCUUCUCCUUGCCCUAGAGCAAGAUCUCUAGAGAGAGAAAGAGAGAAAUGAGAGAGGGAGAGAGUGGAGUGGCUGCUGCUGUAAAGGGGAGGGUUUGGGUUUAUUUAUAGUGUGCAACAAUUGCAACAAAGUCCCCCGAAAAGUCUUAUUUGUAGCAGACCAAUUUGAUGCUGCCAGACCAAAGUGUACCGGUACACGGGAUUUUGUACCGGUAUAUUUUCUGCGCAGAGGCAACCCGAGAGCAAGGUUCUCGAUUUCGUAGCAUUUGUAUCAAUACACUUUCAAAGUGUACCGGUACACUUUCAGUUUUUCUCUCAAACCCGAGAGCACACUCUGCACGGGCUGCAGGGCUAUACCGGUGACAACUCGGUGGUUGUUCCGAUACACUUUGCCCAGAAUGCUGAUUUUGCGCCGUUUUCGAUUUUAUUUCGCGCCGAUCGAUGCUAAAACCUUUCUAACACCUCUUAAACUCAUUUUUAGCCCUUCCAACCUUGUUGGAAUGCUAAAUGGAACUUGUCUAACUAUUUCUUUCGCAUUGUUCACUUUUAAAUCGUGCCGAGCAAUGCUAAAAGUUGCUUAACACUUUAGGGACUCGAUUUUGACCCUUCCAACAUUGUUGGAAUGUCAACCGGACUUUAUCCAUCCAUUUCUCUCAGCUCUUUAACCAAUUUGGCUAAAGUUCGAUAAUCGCUAUCGAAGUUUCAAUAUGUUACAAUAUCAAUAAGCUAUAAAUAUAGAUUUUAUUAAAAUUUUUAAAUUUUGCUUCUAUUAUAUACCCGCUGCAUCGCGCGGAUCUCUACACUAGUAGUAAAUAAAGGUUACUAAAGCACAAGAAAUUUGUUUGACAGCCAAAAAGGAUCUUGAAAACUCUAGCUAUAUAAAGAGACCAAAUUGGACCUCUUGGUAGAGCUGUCACCUGGACUUUUGGUAAAAAUCUCUCUAUUCUUGUAGCAGAAAUUAUGAGACCCUAGGUAGUCUAUAUAUAAGAUAUAAUAGGCUAAAACUCUUAAUCCGGCUUAAACAUUUUGGGUGGUGGCUAGGCCUAAAAGGUUAAAAGAGUUAAGCGUGGUAGGACGACCCAAAAGGUUAAAAGGUUAAAAGAGCUAAGCGUGGUAGGAUGGCCCAAAAGGUUAAAAGGUUAAAAGAGUUAAGCAUGGUAGGAUGGAAGUAAUCCUAGAUGGGCGACCUCCUGAGAAGUUGGGGCGUCACAUAAAUAAAUCUUGUAAAUAGUUUGAUUUGAAACCUCUAACAUAACUUUUUUCCAAAAACGCAUGCAAAAAUCAACAACAAAAUAUAUAGAUAUUUUAAAAAAUGUUUAGAUGGCCAGUAAGAUUGGCCCUCCAUGAGGCUCUGACGAUCACUUCUAGCGAUACAACAACCACGAGCUAUCCCAUCGGCACAUCUCUAAGGUAGCGCAGAGUGAGCCAGGUAGGCUCUUAUUAGAGAUCCAGCAAGAAGAGUAAGAAUGUAAAAGAAAUUAAAGUCCAAAGAAGUAUAUUGAAACUCAGAAUAUAUAGAAACUCUCUCCAUAUAAACUGGGGUGGCCAAUCUGCAUUGCCGCCAUAAGGUGGCCAAUAGGCACUGCCGCUACUGGCAGCUAAUAAGGUGGCAUAGGUCCAACAACUACGUUGACCAUUCACAUUCUUAGGCACUAUUACAUGUCUUGAGUUUUUCAUGUUGGACUAACCUCAUACGUAAAUAAUUUAUGCACGGACUCCCCUUGGGCCGCCCAGGAGGCCUAUAAGCCAAAAUAAAGUUUUAAAUCACACUUUCAAGAUAAAUACCGACAUGACUUAAUUAUAUCAACUGGCAAUUCCAAGUAGCAUCAGACUCUGUCCUGUACCCCUGUAUUAUAUUUUGAGCUUGGGUCUGGGUCUAGAGAUGUAGACUCUAUCGAACCCAAAACUGAUUUAAUAGUUGAUUAAAAUUCAUUUUCAAGUUAAAACUAUUGAUUGGACACUGCCUUUAUUUCCCCUUUUAUAUGGAAACACCAUUUUGGAAUGGGGGAAUAGUAGUUCCCCUUUUGGCAUGAAGGUGGAACAGUUAUUCCACUCUUUUUUCUGGAACAAACUUGUUCCCAAGUGAGAACAAGCUUAAUUAAAGUCUAAAUCUAAUUUUAAUUAUCGUAUUAAAUCAUUAAUUAAUCUAAUUAAUAUAUUUAAGUCAUUAUCUAUUGCUUAAAUAGUAAAGUAACUAAUUAAUUUAUUAUUUACAAUUAAUUAGCUAAUUAACUAAUUAAUUACUUAUGAUGUUUAUGCAAUAUUUAAUAUUUUUGUUGAUUAACUAAUCAUUUUGACUAAUCUAAUUAUUGUAUUAACUAAUUAUCUAACUAUUAAAUAAUUAACUACUUAAUUUAUUAAUUUAUUAAUUUGUUAAAUUACUUAUCUCUAAUUAAAUUAUUAAUUAAUAGUACUCAUUGCUAAUUAUUUUAUUAAUUAAUAUUUAGGGUUAUCUGCCAAUAUUUAUUAUUAAUUAAUUAAUUAAUUAAGUUAAAUUAUUGUUAAAUUAAUAUUUUAUAUUAAUUAAUUAGAUAAAAUAUUAUUAUUUUAAAACUAUAAAUACUCUUAUUCUCACUAUUCCAAUCUACCUAUUCAAAAGCUAUUAUUCCCGGGAACAAUCUAAUUUUCAUCCAAAUGCAAAAUUGUUCUUUGUUCCUGCUUAUCUCACAAUUUAACAUAUGAAAUGCUGCACUUUUUACAUAAAAUUCCAUUUCAUCGAUUUCUCUUUGAUUUGAUUUUAUCUCCAAAUAUCACUUUAUUGUGCACAAUCACCCGAAAGUCCUUCUCAGGUUUAUAGCAUUGUUAAACCUUGAAAGUGAUGAUUUUGUUUCAUUAGACAAACUGUCCAAUUAUAUAGUAGACCACAAUCUUUAGGAAAAUUAUAAUUUAAAUUCUCAGUUUCUACACAUAGCUAUAAGCAUCACUUUUCCCGACUUCUACCUAUCGCGAUGCGCCGACAAAUUAUGAGUAGGAUUUGCUUAACUAAGUUAAUAAUUCAAUUAAAUUGUGACUUCUACCUCUCUCAUUGAUUACCAUGAGUGUUGAUCAUGUUCUUGACAUUCUUGUAUGCAUCAAACACUUAACAAGCUUAAAAUUAAAUAAAGUUUGUUUUGGAUUUUUGUGAACAUAGUAGUAAAUCAUGUCAAUUUAAACCUUUUGCAUAGCAUGAAAAAGCAUGGUGUCAGCAUGAUGCAAGGUAAACCGGUGUUGUGUGUGAAAUUCGGUAUCAUGUUGUGAUUUGUUAGUGUUAGGUAAACACCCCAAUUGGGUGUCUGUGCUAUGACAUGAUUAUUGCCCGAUAAACAUCAGCGGUUCCUUUUGAUCAAUCGAUAUGGUUAUAUGUACAAUUCACUAUUUGACGCUUCUGAACGCCACGUGUCGUGUUCCAGUUAGCUCUCUGCCCUACCAUUUCUCUCUCUCUCUUCUACGCUUGUUACCGAGGCGCCUAUGCCCUUUCCCCUCCCUCUACCCUACGCCUUCUCGAAGCGCCCCCCAUCCCCAUCCCCUCUCUCUCUUCCCUACGCCACCCUCCUCUCUCUCUCUCCCCCUCUCCCUCUUCCCCCUUUCUCUGCACAUUACCCUACCUGAAGCACCCUUCCGCUUUCUCUCUCUACCAUACCCUACGCCUUCCCCGAAGCGCCCUCUAUGCCCUACUUGCUCUCUCUCUCUUCCCUACGCCACCCUCCUCUCUCUACCCUUUCUCUCAUUCUCUUCCCUAUACUCUGCGUCGUACCCCACCCGAAGCACCCUUAGACUUUCUCUCUCUACCCUCUCCCUCCGCCCUCUCUCUCGCUUACCCGAAGCGACUCUCUCUGCAAUCUACAGCCUCUCUCUCUCUCUCUCUCUCUCUCUCUCUCUCUCUCUUUUUCUCUCUCCGGCCUCUUCCAGUGUAUCCAUUCGUGAUCUCCCUGUUCCCGAACAAAUCUUUCAGAUUGCUCCAUGUUGGGCGAUUGUAUCUGCGAGAUUUUCUCCCCUCGCAGAAUAGAUUUCCUCAGUUUCCCCGCUCCCGAUCCGACGGUGGUAAUUCAAUUAACCCUAAUCAUGCCUACUGAGGUAAUAUAUCCCUACCCCUAACCCCUUUCCUUGUCUUUGCUGCCGCCUUAAUUCGAUUUGAUGGUGAUGUUAUGCAGAAAUGGAGAUGAUGAACAUAUAUGUUUUACUGUGUUAUUAUUCGAUAGUUUUUUGUGUGUUAUAUUUGAUGGUUUCGGUUCUCUUCCAAAUAUCGUAUCUGUUAGAUCUUCUCCGAUUAAUUUGCAAGAUCUUCAAAUUUCAUAAAAAAAUAGGAAAUGCAUAUGGUUUUUAUAAUGUUAUAAUGUGACCUGCAAGAUUUUUUCCUAGAUUUGUUAGAUCUUUGCAUUUAAUAGCCGCAUUCAAUUCAUCUCUCUGCUAGCAAGAUCUCCAGUAUUUUAUUUUUUAUUACCUGAGGGUUUCUAUUAGUCAUCUUGCCUUCUUCAUGGCCUCUAUGCUCUUUCUAUAGUUGUUGUAUGGUAAGAGGCAUUAUAAAUAGUGUUGACUGUUUCACACAGUACGACAUUAAAUUCCUGGCUGCUCUAUACAGUACAGCAUUAAAUCCCUUCCAACUGAAGAGUAAAUUCUCAACUCGUUAAUGCAAUAACAUAGAACUAUUUAGUAAAUUGUAUAGAAAUUUUCAGGAGGCUCUAAUUGUUGUUGUAUAUACUAUUGAUUAGAUACCUAUAAAAGUACCUACCCUUUUUGCUACCUUCCCCAAAGGGCAAAGGUAUGGCCUCCUUUGGUGCUGGUCUGACCGUUAUAAGGCUUUUGACUAUUGCCUCUCUCUAUUUUGGGGGUUGUGGUUUUAUAGUUUGGUUACUUUUUGGAUUCAUUUGGCUGUUUGGUAGUGGUGUUCUUUCUAAUUUGAGAUUUUAAAUGUAUGUUAUAAUUUUUCUUUUUAAUGGGCUUCGUACGCCUCCCUCCUGCUCCUGUCCCUUUUAUUUCAAUAUGCCUUCAGGGCAGUGACGAAGGGCUUCAAAAGAAUAAAAGAAUUAAAAUAGGAACUCCAGUUUGGUUAUGGAUAAAGGUGAUGUUUGGAUGGCCUGCUCAUAGACAGCCGCUCGAUAUUGUAGGUUACUUACUCUGGUUGGGUUUUCGUGGAAAAAUUGGCUACAAUCUCUUCUAUGUUUCUUAGCCCACAUGACGCGCUUCUGUCACUGCUCCUCCUUCAUGAUGAAGAUUGCCUAGAGUAGUUUUAAUCUGAACCCAGUUUCGGACUUGUGUUCUACUGUUUUCCUUUUUUGUUCUUAUAUUUGAAGUUGUUUCUAAAUUUUCUAUCAUUUUUUCGUGCCUUCCUGUUUUUUGUUGGAUAUUUCAUGUGUUUGGUGCGUUUGUUGUUCACUCUUCUCUAUUUGUUUUUUGAUUUGUCAUUUUUUUUCUUAGUUUGUGUCCCAUAUUUUAAAUUUUUUUGGGUUCCCUUUUUUUAAAAUACAUAUUUCAUGUGCUUGGUGCUUAUGCUACUCCUACCUUUUAUUUGUCUUCUGAUUUUUCAAUUUUUAAAAACAUAUUUUAUAGUAUGUUUUGAAUAUUCACUAUUUUUUUUUCUAGAUUUAAAAAAAAUUCUUUCUUCUUUUAUUUUUGUUUUGAGACAGUGAUGAUAGGUGGGAGUAAAAAAAUAAUCAAAAGGCCUGAAAAAUAUUUUAUUUUUGGACGGCCUACACGUAGGCAACCACUCAUUGGUGCUUCUUGCUGCUAGUGGGGUUUUUCCUUUUUGGUUUGGAUCAGUGAUGCUCGGUAACAAUAAAAAAAAAAAAUCGACGCUGAACAUGAGAAUGUUUGGACAACCUGUGUGUAGGCAACCACUUAUUAUUACUUCUUGCAGCCGGUGCGGGGUUUUCACAGCCAUGGUUAGGACGCUUCAUGAUUUAUGAUUUUAUGUUGGCCGCUCUUGGCAACAAACUACUCCUACACUGCCCUAUACUCGCGCAUUACAUUGCAUGCCCUAUUCAUCAUUGGGAGAUGAACGGUCAAUCUUUCCCUUAGUUUGCUCUUUUUUCCCGCACGUGAUUUGUUUUUUCUUUGUUUUUUUUUUUCUCUUACUUGGUGUCUUUUUUUUCUUUUGUUUCCCACACGUGAUUUUUUUUUCUUCUGUUUCUUCUUCUUUUAUACAUGAGUUUUCACUCUUUGUCCACUUGCUACUCCUCUCCCUAUGUCUAUCCCUCUUGCGGCUAUAGGUAUGACACCUAUCCAAAUCUCCUACACUUGCUUGCUGCGGGAAGUGUUCGAGUAGCUUCAGAUGGAUCUGCAUCAAUGUGUUCUGACGUCUGACACCGACAGAAGUUUCUUAGCAUAUAUAGAUCUUCCAAUAUCUCGGAGCAAAACUAUAAUUGAAAGUGUUCAGUGUUGGGGUAGCGUAGCAGCGACCUCAGUAGGGGCUGAACAAGAAACUGCACGGUCAGCUAUUAAGAAGUUGGUCGCUAAAUUAGAUCUGCAGGUUAAAGACAUAAACUACGAUGACAGUGUAUUUUAUAAGAAUUUAUAUGACCAUCUAACUGUAGAUCACGCGGUGCUACUUGCCUAGUAUAAUAAAUUGGUUCAAGAUUAUAAUUUCUUAAAGGAGUGUUUUGUCUCUAUCGUAGAACAAAAAAAUAAAUUUAUAACUGAGCGGUUCAGGAUCUCGCUAUUUCAUCAGUGUAAUCAAUUUAUUAAAAAUUUAUAUACACUUUUUCAUAUAAAAUAUUUUUUAUUCUGUUCUAAUUUUUAUAUAAAAUCUUAUUGUCAGUUGCUCACAACCUGGUGUUGACAACCCUGAAGUCCAACCUGCGAAAAGACGCCGGCUGCUGUAAUGUAUAGAAAAAAAUACUCUAUUGAUAUUUAAUAUAAUUUACGUUUAAUUAUUUUAAUUUUUUUUAGGUUUCAUGAGCCUACACAAUUAGAUGAAGAGAAAGAUCAAGAGAAGAAUGAAGAUGAAGAGAAGAAUGAUGAAUCAUUUUCCGCUACUACUCCUUGACAUUUAUAAUUAUUUACUUAUUUGAUAAAACUAUUAGCAUAAGAUAAUAACACUUUCUACCGUCUUUCUUUUUUUUUUUUUUUUACUUAUGCCUAUAAUUUCAUUAUAUAUUAGAGGACUUAAAUAUCUGAAAUAUUACUGACCUACCGCAAAGCAAGGGCCCUUCACUAGUAUAUACAAUUUGUGCUAAACUGCAACCUGAGGACUCGAGGCAAAUGAUGUAUACAUGUGAUUAUAUGAAUAAGGGGAACAAUCCAUUAUUUUUCAUCGAUGGUUUUUUACAUGAGGUGAUGCAGUUGUCGGAAGUUAUUGUGAGUGGUAAUCUAUACUCUAGACGGAUGUAGAGUAUAUUGAUUUUGGGAGUAAAGAUAAAGUACUGUACUUUUGACAAAUAUUGGGUGUAGUUAUAAUUAGGAUUGUACGACACUACACACGAGUGGAUUGUCCGGAAAUGAUGAUUUUACUUUGAACGGAUGUCGUUUAUAAUGAGACCUACGUGUCAUGCUCUAGACGGAUGCUAAGUACGGAUAAGGCUUUGGUAGAUAUGAGAUCUAACUAGGGUUUGAUUUCUUGUAGCCCUAAUUGGAGAGAAUACCGACGUGUUGGGAAACUCGGAUCGAGAUUCCGUCGAGUCUACGCCAAGAAAUUGAGGAAAAACCCCGUUUCGGCUUCGUUUGCCGUGGUCGAGGGGAAUAGGCGAUUGUAAAUCACUAGACUUGAAUCGUAGCGUUCUGGCAUCCCUACGAGGUGGGUGGUGCUAUCCGAAAUCAUCAAAUCUCCUUUUAUGUCUAAAUGUCACUAUCCCGCCCCGAGACUGCCAUUUUGGUCGAUUCGGGCACGCCAACUGUAAGAAAGUGGGUUCUCGUCAUAUUAAAUCACGUUUGGUCAAAUGACCAAAGCGUGGCGAGAGGGAUGCUUGGACAUGGUCCAUGUGACAUUCCAACAAUGUUGGAAGGAUUAAAGUUGAACUCCAAGUGAGUUAGAAAGGUUUUAGCAUUGCUCGGUGCAAAUUGGAGUCGAAACAAUGCAAAACUGCAUUCUGGAGCAUUGUUAACCGGUGAAGCAUUGAAAGAGUAUCGGUACCAGGCUGGCACUCGAGAGAAGCAGCUCGCGGGUUUGCCUCUAUCAAGCUGGUUAACCGGUGACUAAAUCAUGUAGUACCGGUACCCCACGUCCACCCGAGAACAUUAACUCUCAGGUUUGGGCAGUUGAACAGGGGCAUACCGGUGACUCCCACCCGCGUACUGGUACGCAGUGCCCCGAACAGUAGGGGUGGUCUGCUGCAAAUAAAAUAGAAUAAAGGGCUUUAUUGCAUUUGUUGCAGCCUAUAAAAAGACCACCACCCCCCCUCUCUUGUUCACAGCAAUGAACCCUCUCCCCUUUCUCAUUUUUCUCCUUCUCUGUCACGCCCCGGGACCCGGCAUAGGCCCGCCCGGUGCGUGCCCAGACCCGCCAUAUGCCUGCACAUAUAAGGCUUCUACAACAAUAGAGGUGUAAAAGCGAGAAGAGAUAAAACCACUAGAGAUAUCAGAGCAACUAAUAGCUAAAUACUAAAGACAAGUAAAGAAAAGGAAAGCAAUCCACUAAAGGUAAACAUAAAGUAAUACAAAUCAUCUCAAAGAACUACAAAAUGGGAUGGUCUCUAUACAUGGGUACAACUCUCAACCUCUUCCAAACUAAAACAAAAGAGAGGUAGACCACCUAUCGAUCGUCGCUCGCCAACCAGCUAACUCGAGGCGAUACCCUUUCCGCGGUUCCUAGCCUCGCCCGGAGUGGAAGGCUCUGAAAAGAAACAUGAACAGAGGGCGUGAGAACUAUAAUUUAUAUUUCCAGUAGGCAAUUACUGACCUCAGUACAAUGCACCACUAGGCCCAAAAUAAAGUAAGCAUAAAAGAGGAAACAAAAGUAAACUGCUGAAUUGAAAGCAUGUAUGAAAUGCUAUACUACUAAGCCACAAGUAAACAUGAUGUGUAUCAAUGCUAUCAUGAUUGAAUAUACUAAUGUAAGAUGAACAUGUUCUUCACGGCAACCAAGUAUACUAUGAUGCAACGAGUAAAACUAUCAAGUAUACUGCAUGUCCCAAUGUCUCAAAGCCACUCUAUAAGCAUGUCAAGUAACCCAGCUACUACGAUCUAUCUAGUAGUGAUUCACAUUUUAGGAUUUGGUGUCAAAGUUCAAUCUUGUUCUAGGACCUACACGAGUGUAGUCCAGCUUGUGCCGCCUAAGUGCCGGUGGUAGCGCCAGCAUUCCCACUCUGGAAAUGAGUUUAUCCCUUCCGACCCCGUAGGUUCCUCGAUACCGCACGAGUCGCGUAGGCCAAUUUCGGAGUACCGGCUUGUAGGGAGUGACCCUCACAAGCAUGUGCGAAUGAGCACAAAUGGCAAGCAAGCAAAGUCAAUAGCUCAAGUACCCAAUCGUCAUGUCUCUACCAUGGCAUUAGCCACUAGCCACCCAACGGUCCAGUUCUAUGUCUCGAGCGAAGUUCCAACAUAGACUGUGCUUAGUGCCUCUUUAUGACACUUAAACAUUUCUAUAACCCAAGUACAUUUCACAUUCUAGGCCACUUUAUGGCUCUAAUACGAGGUUCAUUCAUAGCCCGAGCUCAAUAACCCUUUAUGACAUUAGCUAAAUCGUUCACAAAUAGUACCAGUCCCAAACCUCUUUAUGGCUUAAGGUAAUCGCUCAUGUCUCAUUAGAUAAAUGAUCAAGGGUGUGAUGCAAUUUCCGUUUUCGCUAAGGGAACAAGGUUCGAAGUCUCAAGUAGAAUGCCAAGACUCAUGCACAAGUCCCACAUACAAGCUCUCUACUACAUAGAGGUCCGAAAAUUCAUUAUACAUAACAUAGGCAUGUUAAGCAUUUUAAAAUUUAUAAUAAAUACAUCUAGCAUGAAAAUGCAUGAUUUUCUAUUUUACAAUACAUAAAUCACCAAUAAUGGAAAUUUUCCAUAUUUUUGGCUAGGUCAAACCCACCGAAACUUGCGCAACCCUUCGUUUGCUCCAAUGGGGGUGUCCACUAGCCUCCUAGCACCCUAGAAGCGUCAAAAAGUGAGCCACACGAAGCUAACGAACAACCACAAGAGUAAACAUUAACCAUCUAGGCAAAAGAGGCCAAAAUCUCACCUAUAGUGUAGAAAUCCCCCUACAAAGCUCAAAUGGGAGCUAAAUCCCUUCCGAAGCAACCUAAACCAAGGUUCUAAUCCAAUUAGAUUAGCUCUAAAAGCUUCAAAUCAAAAAGCCUCAAAUAAACCAUAGGUUUUCCAUUCUAGGGUUUCAUCUCCCAAAAACCACCAAAUCUAGGUCUAGAGAGGAGAAGGGAGCAACUAACCUCUUAAGAAGCUCCAAAUCAAGCCCCAAGAGUGAUGAUCACCUCUCCAACAAGCCCCAAGUCCAAGCCUUCAAGCAUCAUCAAGGUGGGAAGAGAGGGAGAGGGAGAUGUCCAAAGGCCUCCAAGCUUGAUCCUCUUCCUCUUCCUCUUCUUCUUCUUCUUCUUCUUAAGAGAGAAAGAGAGAAAGAGAGAAAGAAAUAAGAGGGAGUGAGGGAAAUGAGAGAGAGAGAGAGAGAGAGCCCUGCCCCCUCUACAUACACUAAGAGAUGUAACAAUUGCAGCAAAACCCCUCCACUUCACCUGUCUCACACAGUCCAGACUGGGCUGAUUUCCAGCAGAGGGACCGGUCUCUCCCACCAGGGACCGGUCCCUCAGGACCCUCCCGCAGUCUGCGCGUUCGGGAACCGGUCUCCCUGGCUAGGGGACCGGUUGCCUCGGCCGACUGCCGCAACCCGCGCUACGGGGGACCGGUCUCUCCUACCAGGGACCGGUCCCCGAGAGUUAAACUCUCAGGAAUUAGCCAAAACUCAGAAUUCGAACUUUUAGGUCGGAAUACAGUCUACGACCCUCCACCAAACAUGGAAGAGCUCGGAGCACAUAUCAAACACUCGAACCUUGCAAUUUGCGAAAGUCCAGUGUGUUACAUUCACCCCUCCUAGAAAGGAGUUUCAUCCGCGAAACUCAAAAACGAAGUACCUCAAGCUUCUAUCUGAAAAAGAUGGGGAUAGUGCUCCUGCAGUGCGCUCUCCAACUCCCAUGUGGCUUCGCGCUCCUCGUGGUUGCUCCAAAGAACCUUCACAUAGGGGAUCUCGCGGUUCCGCAGUCUCUUCACCUCCCGAGCCAAAAUCCUCAAAGGCUGCUCCUCAAAUCUCAAAUCCUCCCUCAGCUCCAAUGGUAUAGCAUCCAAAACAUGAGCUGGAUCGUGGAUGUAUUUCUAAAGGACCGAUACAUGAAAUACAUUGUGUACACCCGAUAGGUUCAGUGGUAGAGCAAGUCGAUACGCUACCGAGCCUACACGCUCCAAAACCUCAUACGGUCCAAUAAAUCGGGGGCUCAACUUAUCCCGGAUUCCAAAUCUUCUAAUCCCUCGGGUCAGCGAGACUUUCAGGAACACAUGAUCUCCAAUCUGAAACUCUAAGUCUCGGCGACGCUUAUCAGCAUAACUUUUUUGCCUACUCUGGGCUGUCAACAGUCGCUCCCGAGCAACACGAACCUUGUCCUCUGCUUCCUGGAGCACAUCGGGGCCUGAAGUCAAUCUCUCGCCAACUUCACUCCAGUGCAGUGGCGAUCUACACUUCUGUCCAUAGAGUGCCUCGAAAGGUGCUAUCUUGAUGCUUGCUUGAUAACUAUUGUUAUAAGCAAACUCCGCCAUCGGUAGAUGUUGCGACCAUCCUCCUCGGAAGUCUAUCACGCAGGCUCGAAACAUAUCCUCGAGAGUCUGUAUGGUGCGCUCUGACUGCCCGUCACUCUGAGGGUAGAAAGCUGUACUGAAAUCCAAGCGCGUACCAAAGGCAUCCUGUAAGCUCCUCCAAAAGUGAGAUACAAAUCGGGGAUCUCGAUCCGAUACUAUAGAAGUAGGUACCCCGUACAGUUGCACAAUCUCAUUCAAGUAUACCUGUGCGAGUCUCUCUCCAAUCCAGAUAGUGUGGAUAGGUAUGAAUGUGCCGAUUUCGUCAACCUAUCCACGAUCACCCAAAUAGCGUCAUGCCCAGCCUGUGAGCGGGGCAAUCCCAUCACGAAGUCUAUAGUAAUCUUUUCCCACUUCUACACUCGAAUCGGUAGGCUCUGCAAUUUUUCCGCGGGAACUCGAUGCUCAGCCUUCACUGUUGGCAAGUUAGACAUCUAGCAACAAACUCACCAACGUCCUUUUUCAUCCCGGGCCACGAAUAAAGCAACUUCAAGUCCUUGUACAUCUUGGUGCCUCCCGGAUGAAUAGAAUAGGGUGCUCGGUGUGCUUCUUGAAGAAUUUCCUCUCUAAGUGCCAAUUCCGCCGGUACACAAACCCGCUCGCGGAAACGCAUCAACCCAACACCGUCCACGGUGAAGUCACUGGUGCAACCAUCAACCAUUUUAGCUCUAAUCCUUUGCAACUCCACGUCGUGAGCUUGCUUUGCCUUGAUCCUUUCCAAAAGUGUAGGUUGCACCGCCAGAGUCAUCAGUCUCAAAGGUGUAUCAGGAGCCACCACCUCCAACUCCAACCGCUUCAUCUGCUCGAUCAACGGCGGUUGAGUAACAACAAGCAUCGCUAAGUUUUCCAUCGAUUUCCUACUUAGCGCAUCCGCCACCACGUUAGCCUUACCCGGGUGGUAUAGAAUCAUCAAAUCAUAAUUCUUGAGGAGUUCCAAUCAUCUGCGCUGCCUCAAGUUCAACUUUUUCUGAGUGAAUAAGUACUUUAGGCUCUUGUGAUCCGUAUAUACCUCGCACUGCUCGCCGUAAAGAUAAUGGCGCCAUAGCUUCAAUGCAAAGACUACGGCCGCGAGCUCCAAAUCGUGGGUAGGAUAAUUCCUUUCAUACUCCUUUAACUGGCGAGAAGUAUACGCGAUCACUUUUCCAUCCUGAAUCAAAACACAGCCCAAUCCAUUAAAGGAAGUAUCGCUAUAAAUCACAUACCCUGCUCCAGCAAUCGGCAAGGUUAGGAUCGGGGCGGUCGUCAAUCUCUGCUUCAGCUCUUGAAGGCUCCUUUCACAAGCAUCAUUCCAAAUGAACUUGGUGCCUUUAUGCGUGAGCCUCGUGAGGGGGGUAGAUAACUUGGCAAAUCCCUCAACAAACCUCCGGUAGUAGCCGACCAAACCGAUAAAACUACGUAUCUCGGUAACGCUCGUCGGCCUUGGCCAAUCCUUGAUAGCCUCAAUUUUUCUCGGAUCCACGGCUAUACCUGAUCCAGAAAUCAAAUGGCCCAAAAAUGCCACCUCUCUAAGCCAAAAUUCACACUUCUUCAACUUGGCGAUGAGCUUCUUUUCCCGAAGCACUUGAAAUAUUAGUCUCAAGUGUUCCUCAUGAUCCACCACACUUCGGGAAUAGACCAAAAUGUCGUCGAUAAACACCACGACGAACCUGUCUAAAUAAGGCUUAAAUACACGGUUCAUUAAAUCCAUAAAAGCUGCCGGGGCAUUAGUAAGCCGAAACGGAAUAACAGUAAACUCGUAAUGUCCAUACCGCGUUCUAAAAGCCGUCUUCGAUACAUCCUCGGGCACAAUCUUCAACUGGUGGUACCCCGACUGCAAGUCGAUCUUGGAGUACACACUCGAUCCCUGAAGGUGAUCAAAUAGGUCGUCAAUCCUCGGCAGCGGGUACUUCUUUUUAAUCGUGACUUUAUUAAGUUCAUGAUAGUCCACACACAAGCGAAUGAUUCGUCCUUCUUCUUAACAAACAGGACCGGUGCUCCCCAAGGUGACACACUCGGUGGCACAAAACCUUAUCCAGAAGGUCUUGCAACUGUGCCCUCAGCUCUUUCAGUUCCGCCGGUGGCAUCCUAUAGGGCGCCUUUGAGAUCGGAGUAGUCCCGGGAACGAGAUCCACAACAAACUCAAUCUCCCUAUCGGGUUGCAUGCCUGGUUGCUCCGCUGGAAACACAUCUCCAAACUCCCGUACCACGGGGAUGUCCUCAAUCCUAGGGGUAUCAGCCUCACCCCGCAACACAAUAGUAGCCAAAUAGGCCACGCAGCCUCUGCUAAUCAACUAUCUAGCUCGAGAGGAGCUAAUCGUCAUCGCAAACAGCGAACUCUGGCAUCCUCGGUAGACAACCUACGCCUGCCCUGGCUCUCUAAACGUCACUGUUCGAUUCUUACAUUCAAUAGUGGCGAAGUACUUGAUUAACCAAUCCAUGCCCAAGACCAUAUCAAACUCUCCAAGUCUGUGUAACGCUAACAAAUCCGCGGGCAUGAUCCAAUCUCCGACCCGAACCGGGCAACUGGGGCAAAUCUCUCUAAUGUCCAAGGAGUGGUCGGGUAUGACAACACGUCCCGGAUGCAACAAAGAAACAAGUGGGAUGCCAUGCAACUCGGAAAACAGCCGGUCAAUAAAUGAAUGCGAUGCACCAGUAUCAAAUAAUGCACGUACUCGAAUACCAUAAAGUAAAAUGAUACCUGCAACCACAUUCUCGGUCGCUGCUGCCUCCUCCGUCUGGACCGCAUACAUGUGCCCGCUUGGGGCCUGUUGUCACGCCCCGACACCUGCCUAUUUGGUCGGAUUCGGGCACGCCGACAGACCGCCGAAUGGACAGAGUUUUUCCUGUACAUCCUAGGCGUCGCAAUCAAUACAAUUUACGAUAUUCCAACCAGGAACAGAAAUCAAGCAUAGAUUGCAUAAGGAAGUAUCAAAAACAUAAACAACUAAGUUAUUACAAGCAUUCACCAGCUUACAUUUUUACAUCACAGUUUCUUUUACAUUCAACUUCCAAGUUACAAUCUAGUUAUUGCAAAUUUAUUACAAGUUUGAUACAUUUUUGUUCUUUCCUUUCCCUAUACCCCUAGGCUAUGCCGAUACGGGGUACUGCUAUCUCUGGUCUCUGGGGUAGGGCGCUACCUACGGAGCUACGCCCUUUUCUCGCGCCGCCGCACCGUUCACGUGCGAACCUGUAACAUCUCAAAACAACGUGGGGUCAGAACCAACUCUAUGGUUCCCAGUGGGUACGGCCACCCAAGGGAAGAGCUCGACCAACAGGUCCAUAGGAGGCAAACACACGUUAGUCCAAUGAGCAGAUAGAUAUAUAUAUCUUAAAUAUGCAACUAACACUACCAUGCUUUGCCUCACAACUGUAACAAUGCCAUGCUAUAUGUAAUAUGAAUAUUUAUGCAACAACUAGUAGAUCUAUUGAUUCUACAUUCAAUCUUGCUAACUUUAGUUCAUAUCAUCCAACUCUAAGGUUUCUACUACCUUAGGUUCACAACUCAAGUCCCAUUUGCUUCUAAGGCCUCUAUUACCUUAGGUUUAUCACAUUUACCACUAGCUCUCAAGGUUCUAUCUACUUUAUUCCAGCUAGCCACCCAACUCGGCCUCGAGUCAAUCAACUGCGGAUAAUCCGCGCUCUGCCCGGCUCGAGGUGAAGGAACUCUCACAUGCACCUCAGCCUGCAAUCCAAGAACCACAUCGCCCAACGGUCCGGCCGAAGGUCCGUGCACCGUGGUCAGGGAUCCCCCGGUGGGAGAGGAAUAUGUCGCAUACACAUGCAGCUGAGAUCCCCGAUAGGGAGAGGAACAUGCCACAUACACCCUAGCGCUCUUCGUUCUUGCGCAGUCAUAAUCCUCGAAGUUUUUUCGGUGGGAGAGGAACAUGCCACAUGCACCCGCGGCCAAGAAUUAUCGAGCUCACAAGUCUCGGAAUUCCGGAAUCCACUUUACAUAGCUCAAGGGUUGGUCUCAAACCCUAUAGUAUCGACCUAACCAAGUCGAAUGCACUUUCCACCCUAGGUCCAACUGACUCUAGGUUUAAUACCUCAACCACAUAACCUAGGUUCACUUUAACUCUAGAUCCAGUUCACAACCUAUGUUCACGAUACUAGGUUAAUGCCACACAUGAUUUACCCUAGGUUCAACAACACUAGGUUAAUGCCCAACCGAUGUUUAUUAACACUAGGUUCAUAUGUCACUCUUAUCCAACCUAUGUCCAUGACACUAGGUUCAAUGCAACCUAUGUUUACUAACACUAGGUUCAAUGUCAUUUUUGUCCGACCUAUGUUUAUUAACAUUAGGUUAAUGCCACUCGAUCUACUCAAUACCUAAUUGUCCACAUCGAGUUUCUAUAAACGUCCACGUUAUCAGCAUGCAUAUUAUACUUAGCCUUUUCUCAUUAUGUCACUAUGCUCUCUUCUAGCAUGUAGGUUAACAUGUCACAUGCAAAUAACAUCUAGCAUAUAUUUCAACAUAGCAAUUUGCUAUUAUCAACUAGCAUGCACUUCUAAUGCAUCAACAUGCAACUAUCAACUAGCAUACAUAAUAUUUAUAUGCAAUCAUCAACAAGCAAGUAUUUACAUGAUGCUAGCAUGCCUAUGUUUCCAUUUAGCAAAUAGAUUCACAUGCAUAAUUCCCUAAACCUAUCAAUUAGGUUUACAUGCAUUAUCUUUCACCUAGCACAUUACAAUGCCAACCUGCAGAUCACUUGCAUCUACUUACUAGCAUGUACUUUCCAAUGCAUUAUUAUGCAAUUAUCACUAGCAUGUAUUCUGCCCACUAGCAUACAUUUACAUAAUGCUAACAUGCCCGUAUACACAUACAUAUACAUCAACAAAAAUUCAUAUUUCGCUUUGACAUGCGGGGCGACAUAGUCGCUUCGGUAAACACAACCCACCUUAACUUACUCUCCGAUUGCUCUUAGUCACUUGCAAUCGACCUCCCGUGACGCCCGGCACCCGGUUUGGCCCGAUCUUGCAGUUGCGCACCAACCGUGCGCCGAAUCGCGGCUCCGAAAAUUAUAGGUCUACGGUUUGUUGCCACGAGCCCCCGAUUCCAUUUUCACGACUUUACGAUGUCGCCUCGGCCCUCCAGGCGGAAACGAAGUUAAAUAGUCCGUCUCUUCAAUAUCUUUACAACGGCUCGACGAAUCGCCGAACCGACUUCGCCAACGCAUUCGUUUACCUAGCAAUUAGGUUAACAGAGGGUCAAUUGAGAUCACACCCAUACAUUUCAUAAAACCCCAUUUUUGAAGCCCUAGAUGCCAUUAUUGCUAAAUCCACUAUUUAACUUCAUGAAUCAAGCAAUAAACCUCUAAUUAGCAUCUAAGCAUUCUACUAAAUCCAUCUUUAGAGCAUACAAAGCUAAUCCUAGAGAUCUACCAUGAGAGGGCUCAAGAUGCUCACCUCAAAGCUUGCUCCAAACCAUGGAGAAGAUGAAGAAGAUGAAGAUGAUUCACUUCCAAGCUUCAAUCUUCACCAAAUCCAUCAAUUUGGGGAGAGAUCUAGAGAGAGAAAGGGGGGUUUCUCUCUCCCUCCAUGUAUGCGUGUGUGUGUGUGUGUGUGUGUGUGUGUGUGUGUGUGUUCGGUUGAGGAGGCAGGAGAAGAAGGGAUUAAUACCUUUUUACAAGUUAGCCCCUCAACUAUACACUAUUCAUAUCAGUUUAGCAGAUACAAACUGACGUUUUUCGUCGGAGCCCUUCUGAAUGUCCGUUUAUGCUCAAAUUUGACAGUCAGGCUUGGUUUUACUUAAUAAGUACAAAAAAAUUUUAAUCUUUCAGUUUCGACCCCGUUUGGUCACCGAAAGCCCUACCGAACUGUAAUCUUUAGCAGAUAGCAGUUCGAUUUCAUUCUCCACUUUUCGGGUGUCAGAAUGGAUGAAACUUUAUAUCUAAUCUCAUAAAAAUAUUUCUGACAUAUUCUUCGGUUUUCAUAAUUUUCUGACACUGUACAUUUUCUGCUAAUUUAUCUGCCCUGUUUCUCACAGAAAAUUCUAAAUCUUCUAUUUUUUCUCUCCGAUUUCAGCACAGGUCAUUUUCAAUCUAUAUUUCACUUCACUAAUCCAAUAAAAAUAGUAUCUCACACUAUUUUUAUUUAUUUUUUACUUUUAUAUCAAAAUCUGAUAUAUUACAAGCCGAAAGUGUACCGGUACACUUCCUCGUAUCACCGGUAACACGACUGCGCAGAGACAAAACCCGAGAGCUGCUUCUCGGUUUUGUAGCAUUUGUACCGGUACACUUUCAAUGUUGUACCGGUAUACUUUGCUGCACCGGUUACAACUCAAUGGUUGUACCGGUACACUGUGCCAAGACUUGGUUUUUGGUUCCAUUUCGAUUCUAUUUCGCGCCGAACAACGCUAAAACCUUUCCAACUCCUUCUAAGCUCACUUUUAACCCUUCCAACCUUGCUGGAAUGUUAAAUAGAACUCGUCCAACCAUUUUAUUCACACGCUUUAGUCAAUUUGACUAAAGUCCAAUAUUUUCUACCUAAGUUUCGGUAUGUUACAUUCUCCACCCCUUAAAAGAAUUUCGUCCACGAAAUUCAAUCCAUACCGCAAUUCAGCUCCUCGAGCAAUUGAGGGUACUAAUGCAUUUCCCAUUCUAGUAAGGCUUUUCACCUUUUGAACCAACUUCAAGGCCUAUUAUGGGGGAUGUGAGACCAAACUCACUCACAUUUGCUACGGUCAAUGUUAAACUACUUUCGCAACAAACGCUCCGUUCGUAAAUCUAAGUCAAACUCCUCGAUAAGGCUAUCCGCCAAAUUGCUUUUCUCAAUUUCAUAGGUGGCCCACGGACCGCUAGUGCCACAAAGGCCUAUCGCCUAGUCUGUCUCAAUACACAGCGUCUCUUGCUCGCAAAUGCAGACCCAAUCAUCAUCAUCGGGCAAAAUUCUCACUUGGGAAUUCGCACACACUCUAACCAGGAGUAAUCUAGACCCCAAACCACGUCAAGUCCACGGGUUGGGUCACUACACACUCGGUGUAUCCUUGAUCUCAGAUCCAUCACGUGGCAUACCACGUCCCCAGGUCUAAGCUCGGACUACCGCCCUGACCAAAACUCUAGCCCUACCCGUAGGUACCGGGCCGCUGUCACUCACAGUUGACUGCGCCUGCCCAAAAGGGCCCAGGCUCCACAGUCCAUAAAUGGUCCAGGCACAGUCGUCCCCAAGCACUACCCGCCAACGUCAUCUCACACGACACGCUCACCCGAGCAACACAUACUCUAUCGGCUCCUAAGUACCUAGUGCGAGCCAUCAGCCCCACGAGUGAUCCAUGGCCCGCUUCACACUUAGCCAUACUGAAGUGCUACUGCCAACUCACUCGGCUGAUCUACAUCCGCACUCUACGAGUGUCCGCAUUCGAGCGCUCUACGCCUCUAUAGCGUUUCAACUAAGCCAAGCAUUAGGCAACCUUACCUGUGCAUGUUGACCACACGAGCACUACUUGCCUACCUCAAUUCGAGGUACUACUAGGCCCACAUGCCCGCACUCGGCAACCAGCCGGCCACUCUCUUAACCGUUCUCUCAACGGUGAUCUACUUUCACCAUUUCGUCCCUACCACGAGUCUCACCUCUCGUCUAAGAGUCAUUACUAGCCAUUUGCUAGUGCCACUUGGCUCCCUACCUGCUCCAGCAGGCACUACACUCUCACCGCGUAAGCAUGCUCGGGCAUCUGCACCUACCCGUCAUUGGGUCCCUACUAUACUGAUACAUGAUUAGUAGCAACGGACCGUAAAGAUAAAUGCAAUGCAACAACUUAAAUCAUGCAAAAGCAUAUGCUUGCUCAACUAAUCCAUACCUGCUACGACAUCGUCAGUAGUGGCAGGUUCCUCAACUUGGGUCGCAUAUCCAUGGCCACUUGGCGCUCGCCGCGAACCCUCCGGUUGCCUGACCAUCACACCUCGCUCUCCAGAUCGUGCCAAAGGCUGCACAUCUACAAGCUGUCCCGGUGAGGAAAAGGUCGUCGUCAACAUCAAGGCCUGGCUCUCGCCUUGCGGGCACUCAUCCCGCAUAUGGCUUGGCUGUCCACAACGGAUAUACCGUCCAUCCCGCAUCGCACAUCACCGCGCCUGGUGGGAACCACCACAAAUCACACAUCCGGAGGAGGAUCGGGUAGAGGACGACCUCGAGUGGUGUCUGGAACUUGACUGACCACCUGAACCACUCGAUAAUGGCCUCACCCCUCCUCGCUCAUGCCUAUGAGAUUCGCGCUCCUCACGCACGAAAGCCUCACCAUGCUCUACCCACAAUGCUCGGUCCAACACCUCUGCGAAGGUCGUGAGCCUAAGGAUUUGCACUCUCUUGUAAAUCUUCGGUCGAAGUCCACGUAGGAACCAAUCGGCCUUAUCAUUGUCAUCCCGUACCACAUCCGAGACACAAUUCAAGAUACGAAAAAAUUUUCAUUCGUAUUCCCUCAUAGAGCGGUCUCCUUGCCGCAGCUUCCUGAACCUGUCCUGAAGCUUCCUCUUUUCAGUAUCGGGGAAAUAAGCUGAAAACACCAAUCCCCGAAACUCAUCCCAUGCCAUAGGAGGGAGACUAGGCGAUCGAUUCCGUCAAAUGCCUUUCCACCAUACCUUUGCUGACUGCUUCAAGCAAUGCACAGCUGGGGGCAUCUUGUCCGGCUCCAAGGUGUACAGCUCCUCGAAGAGCGUUUCCAUAGACUUCAACCCACAUCUCCACGAUCCACGGAUCGACAUUCUCUUCAUCGAAGACAGGCGGAUCAAACCUCUUGAAGGUCAAAAGGGCCGCCAAAGCCCGCUCUUUCUCCGCCUCCAUUUCCACAGAACUAGGGGCCACUGCCCCCGAAUCCAUCGCCAUUCCUGUCGGCACACGGCGUGCUGCUACCGGUGCAACUGUCGCAGCCUGUCGCGUCAACAACUCAUAGAGCUCCUUGAUCUGCUCCUCCUGUCGCAGCACUACGCCCAUGAGCGUACUUAUCUGUUCAUGGAGCACCGGGUCUCCACUCGCCUCAGGUUGCUCAGGGACAUCACCUGUCCCCUCCCGCGCCGAUCUAGAUGAGGAUCGCGUACGCGGUGCCAUCGUUCCGUGAAACAUGAUAACUCGAUCAAUUCUCGACCCAAAGGGUCGAACACGAGACAACCAACAAUGACUCAAUAUUAGAGAGUAUUGCCCUAGUUGCCCUAUUCGGGUAGGAGAUUGGAUCAUGCCUGUGGUUUGCUAGCAUUGCGCAAGCUAUGGGAUUUCGAUGUGGUCUUGGGUAUGGAUUGGCUAACCAAGUAUUAUGCCACGAUUGAUUUCAAGAAUCGCACGGUUACUUUUAGAGAACCGGGGCAGACUGAGGUUGUGUUUAGAGGAUGCCGGAGUUAGCUUUUUAUAAUGUCGAUCAGCUCGUCUCGAGCUAGGCAGCUGAUCAGCCGAGGAUGUGUAGCCUACUUGGCUAGUGUUGUGUUGAGGGGCGAGGAUGACACCCUCAGGAUUGAGGAUAUCCCGGUGGUAUGAGAGUUUCAUGACGUGUUUCCAGCUGAGCUACCGGGUAUGCCACCUGAUAGGGAGAUCGAGUUUGUGGUAGAUCCCGUCCCUGGAACUACUCCAAUCUCGAAGGCACCCUAUAGGAUGCCACCGGCGGAGCUAAAGGAGCUGAGGGCACAGCUGCAGGAUCUGUUGGACAGGAGCUUCAUUCGACCGAGCGUCUUGCUGUGGGGAGCGCCAGUUUUGUUCGUCAAGAAAAAGGACAGAUCACUUCGCCUAUGUGUGGACUAUCGUAAACUUAAUAAAGUCACGAUCAAGAAUAAGUAUCCGUUGCCGAUGAUCGACGACUUAUUUGAUCAGCUUCAAAGAUCGUGUGUAUAUUCCAAGAUAGACUUGCAGUCGGGGUACCACCAGUUAAAGAUCAAACCCGAUGAUGUAUCAAAGACGGCUUUUAGAACACGGUAUGGACACUAUGAGUUCACAGUUAUGCCGUUUGGGCUUACUAAUGCCCCGGCAGCUUUUAUGGAUCUGAUGAACCGUGUUUUUAAGCCUUAUCUAGACAGGUUCGUCGUGGUGUUCAUCGACGACAUUUUGGUCUAUUCUCGAAGUGAUGUGGGUCACGAGGAGCAUUUGAGGCUUGUACUUCAAAUACUUUGGGAAAAGAAGCUUUAUGCCAAGCUGAAAAAGUAUAAAUUUUGGCUUCGAGAGGUAGCCUUCCUUGGACAUUUGAUAUCGGGAUCAGGUAUAGCCGUGGAUACUAAGAAGAUUGAGGCUAUCAAGGAUUGGCCGAGACCGACGAGCGUCACGGAGAUUCGGAGUUUUCUUGGACUGGGCAGGUUAUUACCGGAGAUUUGUCGAGGGGUUUGCUAAGUUAUCUAUUCCCCUCACGAGGCUCACGCAUAAAGGUGUCAAGUUCAUAUGGAAUGAUACGUGUGAGAGAAGCUUCCAAGAGUUGAAGCAACGACUGACGACCGCCCCUAUCCUAACCAUGUCGGUUGCUUGAGCAGGUAUGUGGUUUACAGUGAUGCACUUCUUAAUGGAUUGGGCUGCGUUUUGAUGCAGGAUGGCAAGGUGAUCGCGUAUGCUUCUCGCCAACUGAAGGAAUAUGAAAAGAACUACCCUACGCAUGAUUUGGAGUUCGCGGCCGUAGUCUUCGUAUUGAAGUUAUGGCGCCACUACUUAUAUGGCGAGCGGUGUGAAGUAUAUACGGAUCACAAGAGCUUGAAGUACCUGUUCACUCAGAAGGAGUUAAACUUGAGGCAGCGCAGAUGGUUGGAACUGCUCAAGGAUUAUGAUUUGACGAUCCUAUACCACCCGUGCAAGGCUAACGUGGUGGCGGAUGCGCUACGUAGGAAAUCGACGGAAAACUUAGCGAUCCAUGUUGUUACUCAACCGCAGUUGAUCGAGCAGAUGAAGCGGUUGGAGUUGGAGGUGGUGACUCCUGACACGCCUUUGAGGUUGAUGACAUUGAUAGUGCAACCUACACUUGUGGAUAGAAUUAAAGAAAUGCAAGCUUCCGAUGUGGAGUUGCAAAAGAUUAGAGAUAGAAUGGUUGAUGGUUGCACCGGCGAUUUCCUUGUGGAUGACCAAGGAUUGAUGCGUUUCCGUGGGCGGAUUUGUGUACCGACGGAUUUGGGAAUUAAAGAGGAUAUUCUUCAAGAAACGCACCGAGCGCCCUAUGCUAUACAUCCGGGAGGCACCAAGAUGUAUAAGGAUUUAAAGUUGCUUUAUUGGUGGCCCGGGAUGAAAAAGGAUGUUGGCGAGUUUGUAGCUCAUUGUUUAACUUGCCAACAAGUAAAGGCUGAGCACUGAUUACCCGCGGGAAAACUUCAGAGUUUGCCUAUUCCCGUGUGGAAGUGGGAGAAGAUCACCAUGGAUUUCAUGACAGGAUUGCCUCGCUCUCAGGCCGCGCAUGAUGCUAUAUCGGUGAUCGUGGAUAGGUUGACGAAGUCGGCGCACUUCAUACCUAUUCAUACUACUUGGACCGGAGAGAAGCUCGCACAAGUGUACCUUGAUGAGAUUGUGCGACUUCAUGGAGUGCCUACUUCGAUUGUAUCGGAUCGAGACACUCGGUUUGUGUCUCACUUUUGGAGAAGUCUGCAGGACGCCCCGGGCACUCGUUUGGACUUCAGCACUGCUUUCCACCCUCAGAGUGGCGGGCAGUCGGAACGUACUAUUCAGACCUUAGAGGAUAUGCUCCGAGCUUAUGUGAUAGACUUCUAGAGAGGAUGGUCGCAGCAUCUACCGAUGGCGGAAUUUGCUUAUAACAACAGUUAUCAAGCAAGCAUCAAGAUGGCGCUCGUCGAAGCACUUUAUGGACGGAAGUGUAGAUCGCCACUUUAUUGGAGUGAAGUCGGCGAGAGAUUGGCAUUAAGCCCUGAUGUGCUCUAAGAAGCAGAGGACAAGAUUCGAAUUGCUCGGGAGCGACUUUUGACGGUGCAGAGUAGAUAGAGGAGCUACGCCGAUCGACGGCGGCGAGACUUGGAGUUCCAAGUUGGAGACCAUGUAUUCUUCACGGUCUCGCCGACUAGAGAGAUCAGGAGAUUCGGGAUUCGGGGUAAGUUGAGCCCCCGUUUUAUUGGACCAUAUGAGAUCUUGGAACGAGUAGGUCCGAUAGCGUAUCGACUUGCUCUACCGCCAAACCUAUCGGGCAUGCACAACGUCUUUCAUGCAUCGGUCCUUCGGAAGUAUGUUUUCGACCCGACUCAUGUGUUGGAUGCUACACCUGUGGAGUUGCGGGAUGAUUUGAGUUUCGAGGAGCAACCCGUGAAGAUGUUGGCUCGCGAGGUGAAGAAACUGCGGAAUCGGGACAUUCCAUAUGUAAAGGUUCUUUGGAGCAACCACGGGGAGCGGGAGGCCACGUGGGAGCUAGAGAGCGCGCUGUGGGAGCGCUAUACCUAUCUUUUUCAAAUGGAGUUUUGAGGUAUGUUGUUGCUUUUGAGUUUCGCGGACGAAACUCCUUUUUAGGAGGGGUGAAUGUAACACACUGGACCUUUGCAAAUUGCGAGGUUCGCGUGUUUGAUAUGGAUUCCGAGCUUUUCCACACUUGGUGGAAGGCCGUAGACUAUAUUUCGACCUAAAAGUUCGAAUUCUGAAUUUUUGGCUAAGUCCUGAGAGUUUUUACUCUCGGGGAUCAGUCCUUGGUGGGAGAGACCGGUCCCCCCGGAACAGUGUUGCGGCAAACUCGAGGUAACCGGUCCCUGGCAGGGAGAGACCAGUUCCCGAGAGCUUGUUUUGCGGGAGGGUCCUGAGGGACCGGUCCCAGCUGGGAGAGACCGGUCCCUCUGGGCGAAAAUUGCCCAGUUCGGGCUCAUGCACAGAUUGGAUUCUUGAGGGAUCUAACUGUAUUUUGUUGCUUUAGAGGACUUUUAGAGUCAUUUCCCCUCUCUCUUUCCCUCACUUCUCACUCUCUCACACCUCUAGAAAGAGAAGAAGAAGAAGAGGAAGAGCUUGCUUGAGGGAGCUUGUUGGCCUUGGAGCAUCAACCCUUUCUUUCUUUUUUCACCAUUGGAGGCUUGGAGCUUGGAUUUGGAGCUUUGUGGAGGAUCAAACUCCAAUCCUUGUGGGUUUUGAGCUUGGUUUAGAGCAUCCUAGAGGUAUGUGGCUAAUUUCUCUCCUCUAGAUCCUAGUUUUGGAGCUUUUUACUAGAUGAAACCCUAGAUUUGGAUUUUAGGGUUUAUUUUGGGGAUUUUUGAUUGGAGGGCUUUGGGACCCCAUUGAUUGGCUUAGAACCUUUGUUUAGGUUAUAUUGGAAGGGCUCUAACUCCCAUUUGGAGAUCGAGAGAGCACUCUUCGCAUUUGGUGAGUUUCUAGCCCUAUUCUUGAGUUGGUUUUUGAUCGAACCAUUAGAUUUUCGUUUGCUUCUUUGGCCUCACCUUUUGAUGCUUCUAGGGUACUAGGAGGCUAGUGGGCACCUUCGUCGGAGCAAACGAAGGGUCGCAAGAGUUGUGGUGGGUUUGACUUCAUGAAAUCGGGACGAAAUGGCCCCUAUGUAUUCUAUACUUGUCGUAACGUUAAUUUGAUUGCAUAUUCAUAUUAAAUGGGAUUUAUGUGAAUUUUAGAACACUUAAAAUGCAUGUGUCAUGUGUAAGAUAAAUUUCACUCUAUAUAGUAGAGCCUUCUGGGUAUUAAGCAUGCAUGUGAGAAGUGUUCAUGGUAGCGAAUUGGAAACUUGUCUCGUAUGCUUAAAAUAGCUCAAAUUAUGCAUUUAUGAACAUUUGAUUCGAGCUUGGACUUAGCGAAUAAAAAUGCCAUCAAGGGGCACCUGACUUAGUAGACUAUGAAACUGCUACUUUGAGACACAAUGACGGGCCAUUGACAUCUAUUACUUUUCAUAUUUUAGACAUGAUGCCAUAGAGAUAGGCCAUUAAGACAUUCGAUAUAUUCCAUGUUGUUAGACAUGAGGACUUGGUACUUGAGACGGAUCUUACGUUACUUGUCAUUGUGCUCAUUCACACAUGCUUGUGAGGGUCGCUCCCUACAAGCUGGCACUCCGGAGACGGCCAUCGCGAUACAUGUUCGCCGUGCGCGAUUGGGCGCCGAAGUGGAUUGCCGUGGGCUAGGCUCAUCCCUAGGGUGGGGAUGUUGACUACCACGGGGCCAUUAGGCUCGGCACCGGCCAUACAGCCCAUGGGUGGGUCUCAGGGCCAGACAGCCUUCGGGCGGGUCUCUUCAGAUUUGACUUUGAGCAUUCAUCAUGCUAUGUGGACAUUGACUAGAAUAGUAAACAAUGAUAUCUUUACUAUUUAGCUUGUGGAUAUCAUACUAGUGAUACUUUGGUACAUUCAUACUAGUGUAGCCUUUUAUUACUUGAGCAAAAUCAUGCUAAGUAGUGAUAUCUUGUGGUAGCAAGUAUUCAUGUUUAUUUACCUGUUGUACAUAUCGCACUUACUCCUACUUGUUUACUGACCCCCUUUUUGUAGCCUCUGGGCAUAGUGGCGCAUUUCACUAAAGUCAGUAAUUGCCCACUGGGAACUAUUAUUUAAUAGUUCUCACGCCCCUGUUUCUAUGUUUCCUUUUUAGAGCCUUCGGCACCAGCGGAGGCACGGGAUUGCGGCAAGGGUGUCGCCUAGCUUGAUAGAUAGCGGAGCUCACUUUUGCUCCUAGAUGGUUACCCUCUCGUUUUUUUGUGUUUUGUGUGAGAAUGGUUUUGUACCAUGUAUAGAGACCACCUAUGUACCUUGUUUAGCUCUUGUAUUUGGGACUUCUAUUGUAUUACUUUAUGUUUUUACAUAGUGGAUUUAGCCUUAUGUUCUUUUUUCUUAUUGUAGCUUAUAGAUAUACUUUGCUCUGAUACUUAUAGAUAUUCUCCUUUUGUUGCUUUAUUUAUUGCUUCGUUAUUUCUUUUAUCGUUUUGUUUUAGACGCCUUAUAUGUUUUAGACAUACGGUGGGUCUGGGCAUGCUCCGGGCGGGCUUCCGCUGGGUCCCGGGGCGUGACAUAUGGUUACCUAUCUAUCUGUUUCUUCUACUUAUGCCUGGUUUAGACCUAGUGGGAAAGUCGGCGGGGUCGGCGACCGAACCCACUAGGAACUUUCUUGUAGUUCUCUCCCCACUAUUUUUACAGAUCCAGGUCCGAGCGAGGUGGUCGAGGACCGUGGCAAGGGUAUCGCACCCUAGCUAGUGACUACACGAGUAUAGUACAUACCUUAUCGUUAUCAUCUUUUGUUUAUGAUGAGCAAAUGUAUAAAUGAUGUAUAAAUGUAAAAGACUUAUGUUUUUGAUGAUGAUCAUAUGAUGUAUAUAUGAAAGAAUGAAAGAAUGUAAAUGGUUAUAUGCAUGUAUUUGAUUAAAAGUAAUCAUAGUACUUGUAUGGAUGUUAUAGUGUAGAACUUUCACUUUUAGUUGUUGUUUGCUUUCGAGCAAGCCAUGAAUAUCUUUAUUUCCGCUUGCGCAAAAUUAUAUACAUAUUGAUAUUGUGUUAAGCCUUGGGCGGGCAGGGGAAGUACUGUCCGUCCGAUGUCUGUUGACAUGCCCGAACCGACCAAAUCGUCGGUCCUGGGGCGUGACAGAUAUAAUGGUAUCAGAGCCUAGAAAAGUGAAAGUUUAGGAUGGACCUAGAAACCCUCAUGAUGAAAACUUUAAGGACCUAGGGACAUGAGCAACGUGGAAUUGAUUUAUAGCGAAAGCCACGUGGAUUGAGUUAGUGUUAAUACGUCCCUAAUGGUAAUUAGGGACUAAUCCAAGUGGAUGUUUGUUCUCUAUUUCAAGGGUUGUUUUGGGCGGCCGACAACAUGAUGCCUAGGAAUGAGAAUGGAUUCACUUGUAUGCUUUCGCUUGAUUGGGUUUCAUUUACGUAUGUUAAAACAAUGCGAUAGUGUCGUGAGUCAAGUAACUAAUGUGGUUGUUACGUUUCAGGAAGUGAUGUCUCGUGGUAGACCUCAAACAAGGUCGAUGCCUGAGGAACCGAGUUCGGCUCCCGAGCAAUCCGGAGCGAGUGGCGACGGGGAGCUUCGGGAGCAGGUGUCAGCACUUAUAGGAGUAGUGCGACAACAAGUGGAGUCGGUGCAACGCCAAGGGAAGCAAAUCAAGCGGCUCCAGGAGGCUUGGGUGCAACAGCAGGCGAUGUCGGCUCAAGCGGGCAUCAAGCGACCUGCGCCCCCUGUCAUGAUAUCGAAUGCGACAGAGGGCAUGGCUGCGGCGGCUAUACCUGUCGCAGCGGUGGCAGCUGGUUCGGGUACCUCAAAUCCCGACGGUGCGGCCAUGGAAGAGGAGCGGGAGCGUGCGCUCGCGGCUCUCGUGAUGUUCAAGAAGUUCAAUCUGCCUGUGUUCAACGGAGAAAAGGUGUAGCCAUGGAUGGUUGAGUCAUGGAUCAACUCAAUGGAGAUACUCUUCGAGGAUAUUUAUACCUUGGAGAAAGAUAAAGUGCACCUUGCUGCGCACUGUUUAGAGAGGUCGGCGAAGGUGUGGUGGAAAAGAGUAAAGCGGGAUUGAUCUUCUGACCUUCCACCUAUGGUUUGGGAGGAGUUUCGGAGGUUAGUGUUUACAAACUACUUCCCCGAUAGCGAGAAAAAGAAGCUUUAGGAUAAAUUUCGGAAGCUAAGACAAGGAGAUCGUUCAGUGGGAAAGUAUAAGCGGGAGUUUUCCCACAUUAUUGACUGUGUCCCGGAUGUGGUUCGGGAUGACAAGGAUCGGGCUGAUUGGUUCUUGCGAGGACUUUAACCGAGGAUUUAUGAGAAGGUGUAGAUCCUGAAGCUUACAACCUUUGCGGAGGUUUUGGAUGGGGCGUUGUGGGCGAACCACGGUAGUGCAUAUGCGCGUGGGGAGCGCGAGUCUAUGGACAACGACAGGGACAGGGGAAAGAAGCGGACUGCGGGUGGUGUCAGGAGCCGGUCGAAUGCUAAGAAACCCCCUCGAUAUCCACGACAGCAGUCGAAGAAUUGGAGACCCACUCGAUGUAUUAUUUGCGGCGGUGAUCAAUGACCGCCGGCCUGCCCACAGUGUGAUAGAAGAUGUUUUAAAUGUGGUCAAGCUGGACAUGUUAUCCGGGAGUACCCAAGUUGGACAUCAUUUGCCCAGACGACUGCCUCAGUUCAGUAUGCCCCGCGACAGCUUGCGGGACUGCCACCUGCUAUAUCGGUUGGACGCUCUUCGGUACCGCGUCAGUCAGAGGGAUCUCGUGCGGCACCGAGUGGCCGGGUUUUCGCCGCUCAGGUGGAGGAGCCUGCCGUACCGAGUGAUGUUGUGGCAGGUAUUGUUUUAAUUAAUAGCACUAGAGCUAGAGCAUUAUUUGAUAUUCGUACAUCUCAUUCAUUCAUUAGUGCAUCAUUCGCUAGAGCUCAUGGUAUUGUGAUAUCGGAUAGUGCGGAUGCUUGGUGGGUUUAUGCACUAAAGCAUACUUUUAGUGUCAAUGAGGAGUGCGCGGCUUGUCCAGUGUUAAUUGGGGAUUGGAUUAUGCCGGCGGACUUGCUUGUCUUGACCCGAAUGUGGGGCUUCGAUGUAAUUCUUGGAUUAGAUUGGCUCUCGAAAUAUUAGGCUGUCAUUGAUUGCGAAAGCAAGAUGAUCACUUUUCGUGAGCCCGAUCAAGAGGAACUGGUAUAUCAUGCAUGCAAGAGCUCGCACUUUGCAGCAACAGUGUCGGCAUCGAGAGCGAGAAAAUUGAUCAAAAGUGGAUGUGUGGCUUAUUUGGCGACGGUGGUAGAGGCCCAAAGGGAACCCCCAACACUUGGGGAUAUUUCGAUAGCAUGUGAGUUUCCGGAUGUGUUUCCGAUGGAGUUACCGGGAUUGCCACCGGACCGAGAGAUCGAGUUCGUCAUUGACUUGGUUUCCGAGACGGCGCCAAUUUCGAAGGCUCCGUAUUGAAUGGCACCGACAAAGUUAAGUGAGUUAAAAGCUCAACUGCAAGACCUACUCGAUAAAGAUUUUGUGAAGCCGAGUGUGUCACCGUGGGGCCCUCCGGUGCUAUUUGUGAAAAAGAAGGAUGGAACGCUUCGGCUCUGCGUUGAUUAUCGCGAGCUGAACAAAGUGACAAUCUAAAAUAAAUACCCGUUACCGAGGAUUGAUGAUCUAUUCGACCAGUUGCAAGGGUCUCGGGUAUAUUCGAAAAUUGAUCUCUAGUCAGGGUACCACCAGUUGAAGAUCAAGCCGGAGGAUGUUCAUAAGACGGCGUUUCGUAUGCGAUAUGGCCACUACGGGUUCACAGUAAUACCCUUCGGGCUUACCAAUGCCCCUGCAGCAUUUAUGGACUUCAUGAAUCGAGUCUUUCGACCACUGUUGGAUUGAUGCAUCGUGGUGUUCAUUGACGACGUAUUGGUCUAUUCGCGAAGUGAUGAAGAGCACAAGGAGCAUUUGAGAACUGUGUUGCAAAUACUCUGAAAAGAGAAGCUUUAUGCCAAGUUGAAAAAGUGCGACUUUUGGCUACGCGAAGUUGCCUUCUUGGGCCAUGUGAUAUCUGGGAGCGGUGUCUCGGUAGAUCCAAAGAAAGUUGAGGCGAUUAAAGAUUGGCCUCGUCCGACGAGUGUCACGGAAAUCCGCAGUUUCCUUGGUCUUGCGGGGUAUUAUCGGCGGUUCGUGGGGGGGUUUGCUAAGAUAACUACUCCACUGACGCGCCUCAACCACAAGAGAGCGAAGUAUGUGUGGAGCGACGACUGUGAUUGAAGCUUCAAGGAGUUAAAGAAGAGGUUGACUACUACCCCGGUACUCGCUUUACCGAUUCCGGGGGAGAGCUUUGUAGUAUAUAGUAAUGCUUCAUAUAGUGGUCUUGUGUGUGUUGUUAUGCAAGGUGGGUGAGUUAUUGCUUAUGCUUCUCGCCAGUUAAAGAG
rnacentral:lncRNA from 1 species